AUAUAUGUAUGAGUAAACAGUCAGUCUUACCGUUAGUAGGCCUCAUUCACGAAGCUGGUCUAUAAGGGGUGUUUAAGGAAAUUGCCUAUAAAAUGGUGAUUGAAUGGGUAUCCACUCUUACCCACCGCACUCUUGACUAGUGGAGGGUCGUUAGCCGAACGGCUAGGAUAGGACAGAAACCUUCGAUUGUAAGUAUAAUGAAGUAAACAAGUAACUAAAUGCUUUUAAAAUUCCCAAAUCAUAAUUACUUUAGGCAAAAUGUGAAAUUGUAUGCUAACCCAUGGAAUUACACUUCCUACCCUUGUCAAACGUUAGUGGAGCGUGUGUGGUUAACCAACACACUAAUUUGGGGAUGACAUUGGUAGCGAAGGGUGGCUCGAUGCUUAUCAUAGAUCAAUGGAGCAUGUGUGGCUAACCGGCACAUUGAUUAGGUGAUAGCAGCAUUCGGUGCACCACAUGAUUCGUAUGGUUAUUCACACCUUAUUUGUGAUCCUCGGCAUCCCAGUCACAAAUAAAAGAGCAUAAUUGAGAUUUAAACAUGCCAUUGAAAAAUUCAAUGAAUCUCAAAAGAUCUAUGAGUUUCAAUUCAUUUAAAACUUAAACUUCCCUUUUGUUUUUCAUGGUGGAAAUUGGUAAAUCGUCAUUUACCUACCUUCAAAUAUUCUGCGACUAGAUUACAGCAUCCCUCUUCUAGGUUGUAGAGUAUUGUGUUAGAUCCUAGCUUGAUGUUUCAUUUGGGUGUUACAUCAAGAAUUCUAAUCAACUUAACUUGAAUUUUCUCCCGUUUUGUAGAUGUCUAGUUCUGACAAUCAUGGUCUUCCCAAAUCCCAUGGAACAAGCUUUCCAAAUGAAGAUGAUGUUCCACGAUAUGAUCGAGGAACAAGAGAUCAUGCUUCACUUCCUCCACCUCCUUCAAUUGUUCUCCUUACUCCACAAGUUCAAAGGCUUGAAAAGUUCAAGCUCACUCUAUCCCUAUUGGAAAUUAAGCAUGAAGAUGGAAAGUCUGUGUGUGCACACGUCUUAGAGAUAAAGUCACACAUUGUUAGGUUAAGGAUGUUGGGUGUCGAUAUCUCAGAGAUAUUGGCUGUUGACUGGGUUUUUCAGUCACUUACUGAAUCAUAUAGUGAUUUUGUUAGAGAGUACUAUAUGAUGGAUCAUGACGUGACCCUCAUUGAUCUCACCUAUUUGCUUAUAGUUGCUGAAUCAGCAAUGAUUUGGCAUGUUGGUCAAGCAAAUUUGUCUAGUGAAUCAAACUCCCAAACUACAAUGGACACUGGCAACAUUGGAAGUCCAGAAAGAACUAAGUCUGUGAUUGUCCGAUGUGCUGUGCCAAAGGAGUCCAUUUGCUUUUAUUGCCAAGAGAAGGGGCAUUGGAGAUGAAGCUGCCCUAUUUACCUAAGAGAUCUAAGAGAUGGGAGAGUCAAAACGUAUGGCUCUACUUCAGGUAAAAUCCAUUAACUAACUCUUUUAAGUUCCUAUUCUAGAUUCUUAAUACAUGAUGUGAUAAGAUUACAUUUUGAUGUUUUGUAGGAUCGAAGAAAAGAGAGGAAGCUUAAGGGAAGAAGUGAGCUGAAUCUAAUCAUGAAGAAAUGGAUUUCGAUCGCGUUGCUUGAAAAUUGGAUUCUUAAGCUACUACUUGGAGUUAGAAUAGAUUGCUAAGAAAUAUGUAAUGACGUAGUUUUUCAAUUGAAUUGCAUUGUAAGGACAAAUUUUUUCCGCAAUAAAAUGAAUUUUGAUUUUAUCUUAUUUAUUUAUCCUUGCAAUGGCAUGUAUGAAAAAUUGAUGUUUCAAGGUUUCUAUUAUUAGCAAUAAAGGAUUUGAUUCUUAAUUAUGAUAUUUGUGGAAAUUUCAAGAAUUUACCAAAUAGGGAGAGUUUCUCAUCGCCCAAGUUUCAAUUGGACAGGAACUUGGAAGCAUACAACUUGGUUGCGUGAUAAAUGAGAGACUUCAUAUUUGGAAAUUAGAUUGAUUCUUUGACAAAGUGUCAAGUGAAAGACUAGGAGAUCGAGUACACUAGGUCGUACGUUUGUCAGGUCCACCACAAGAGUGAUAAAGAUAUUCAUCAUGAUUUACUAAAGUUUAGUAAAUAUGAUUAUACUUAUAAGAUUAAGUGUAACUCUGAGUUAAUUGAAAAAGUUUCAAUAAAUAGCAGAACGAAUAAGAAGAAUCAAGUAGGCAGAAAGAUAAAAGUUUCUCUAUUCUAAGAAGAAGGGAGAGUACCUUUUAUUGUGUUUUAUGAUAAGUCUUAAUGAUUAAGAGCCAUAUCUCAAUUGAUUCUCUAAGUGACUCUUAGUGCAUUUGUAUGUCUAAAAAGAGGAAUCAAGAAUUGUGGAAAUGGUUAAAUCAAGAAGUCAAUCAUACAUUGUUCCAAUAUCGAAUCUUAGAGUCAUACUCCAAGAUUGCGAAUUGAGUGACAAGUCUUAAGUAGGUUUAUAACACUCAUCAAAUGUGGAAUUUGGAAAAGGUUUUCUUAUUCUUGCACAUUUAAAAUUGGUAAGUUGUGAUGUCUUGGAUAAGACAAAGACCAACUAAGACCAAUUUGUGAAGUGUUUUGUCUUGAUAAAAGCUACACUUACUCUUGAAUAUUUGUUUGUCAAGAAAUGGUUCUUUAGAAGAGAACUUUAUAUGUCAAGGAGUCCGUGGGAGUUUUAAUGUUUUUGAAAAGGUUUCAGGAACAAAUCAAGAAUAAACCUUAUCGAUCAUCACUAGCACAUGACUUGAGGUUAACAACCUAUCGUGUUGACAUUAUUUUUGUUUCUGUGCCAUUCCAGUUGAGUUAAUUAUGCAUGUGAGCUCUAUGAGUUCUCAUUUGAAUGAAUAAAGACAAAGUACCUAGAUCAGUGGAAAGUACAUUAAUAUGUAAGGAUAAGUUGCUAAACUACUUGGAAGACAUGGUGGGCACUCGUGUCACCACAAGGAAAAAAAUCAAGAUUAAGAAAGUUCACUCCAUAUGAGUUUGGAUUUGUCGCAAACCUUGGUUUUGGUAAAUUCACAUGGAUAGGAACUCAUACACCAUAAAAUCUAAGUGUCAUAAGAUUCCCUCCUUCAUGAAAAUGAUUGUGAGGAAAUGCUUUCAAUAAGAGAGAUUUUAAGAAGAUAGCAAUCAUGAAAAAUUGUAUUCUCAAAUUCGAUUAUGGUUACGACAUCCCUUUCCAUAGUUCCAAUUGUGAGAUUUGGAAAUUUGUAUAAACAUUUGGGACUUAGUAACAUAAGUUCUGAAUUUGUCUAGACACACAUGUGAGCUUUCUAAGGCAAAGUUGUAUAAGUUUAAGAAGCUUAGAUAAAGGCUUAUCGAAGCAUCUGGUAUUAGAAAUAUGAAUUUCAGAAAUUCAAUAGGCAUUGUUUUCUGGAAGUUCAUUUGUUUUCUGAAUACAUGUCAAAGCUAGUGGGAGCAUAAGUGUUAUGCUUAUAUGAUAAUAAUCAUCAUGAUAGUGGGAGCAUAAGUGUUAUGCUUGUAUGAUUAUUAUGGCGAGUAUUGCAGUUAGUAAUAUUAAUUAUAGAAAAACAAAGAUUCAAUUUGCAAAGUUGUAUGGGUUGAAAAGUUAUUUUACUAUAAUUAAGGGAGAGAAUAUUAUACUCCGUUUCAAAAUCUAAAGCUUAGAUUGAGAAAUUUUAAUAAAUUUAGUUAAAGGAUACAUAGUGUGUUCUCAAAUUGUGAGAACGUGACACAUAAAAUAUUAUGGUAAAAGAUUGAUAAAGUAUCAUAUCUUUAUGUAAGACAUUAUGCAUCGUGUCCCAUACGCUUCAGGUAUAGGAUCGAUUGCAAAUGCUAUAAUAUUUGACCAUUCUAAAAUUUUCCAAAUGUCUAGCACAUUAAGAGGGAAAAAGGACUAGAAUCGGUUUUGACUAAAAUAAUUAAACAACUAUCAAAGGACGAUCCAAAGUUCACUGAGAAUUGGUCGCUUGUGAGUAGUUGGAAUUAUGGUAUUGGAUGGACCGUAUCGACAUUGUUAUGAAUAGAUAAGAUUCUAUUAAGAAUGAGUUGUCAUAUGGCAAAUAUGGAAAUGUUUCCAUAUUGGGAGUUGGAUAUUGAGAGUUUUUGUCUAGAUUAGAAACUUAUAUGCAAGAAGGAUGUUCAAAGGAAUGUAUUUUGAAUGUGAGACUUCACGUCUAUGGAAUUGCCUUGUAACAAUUUCUAAGAGAGUACUUUGUAAUUUCAUUAGCCUAGUAUUGGUGACUUUUGUGCUAUGGCUUUAUGAAAGGAUCGUUGCAUAAAAUGUUAGAAUCUAGCAUAUUCUAAUAGUAGCAAAGAACCUUGUGUUCUUACACAAAUGAUAAGGAUUGGGAAUUGUGAAAUGAGCAUCAUUGGAAAAGUUUUUCAAUUGAUCUAUUUCACAAAACAUGGACCAUAGGAAACAAAGUGUGCAUGCUUGGAGCAUAGGACAAUUGUUGUUAUUCAAGUAACGAGUUGAUUAUCCGAAACAUUAAAAUAAUGAGUAAUCAAUAUGGUGGAUAAAUAGAAGUGUUUUAUUUACUCUCACAAGUUUGGGGCCAUAUAGGAUUAAGUAUUAUUGUUAUGUUUCAGUUUGCAUGUUUUGACUUGCAGAAUAACUAGGUUAUUCAAACAUCCACAGUUGGUCAUACAUUGGGAGUAGGUAUGAAGAAAGACUGUCAUGAAUCUGUCUAUAGAUUGUAUGAAGUGUUUUGACAUGGCACAAGUUUGUUGCAGAGUUCAUGAGUGCUUUGAUAAGAUUAGAGUAUUGGAUUAAACCCACGCUCACUUGGAUCACUUCAUGGAUUUAUCCCGAGUGAUUAGUGAGACGAUAAUAUUGAAUAUUCUUGAAACCUAGACGUGUGAGUUGUUUUUUGUUGGUCGGUUGCACAUUGAUAAUAAGUAAACGCACAAGUAACUUGGUGUUAUAAAACUUAUUGUUGUGUGUGAUUCGAUCAGUAAAUGCAAGCGAGCAUUUGAGUCGAAGUUUAUCCAUUCCUUUUACCCAAAGUGGGAUAAAAGCGAUAUCUGUGGGCCUCUCGAUGAUUUAGUGAUGACACCUAAGCGCUUGGCCAAGCCGGGACUAAGUUGAUGUGUUCAAUUGUAGUCUGUUGUCAGUCGUCAUAAAUCGGAAGUCGGGAAACAGUAUAGAGAGAAUGAUUGAAAUUCAUGUCUUUUGUCUAUACGAUAUCUUGAGAAUGGAGGAAUAUAUAAUCCCUUAUCUAGAGGACACCGUAUCUGAUAAGAUCAGAGUUGACAGCGGCUUUUGAAAGCUACGAUUGCUGAUCAGGUUCUGAAGUCAUACGGAAAAUAGUUAUUAGACUUAUCCAAGUGGGAGACUGUUGGAUUAGUGUCUAAGUCCAUAACUAUUUUGGUAUGUACUUGACCCGACUAUGAGCAUGGUCCUUUUGGGUUGCCUUCACCAUAGCAAUAUGUAGGAUGAAUUAAGGAGAGAAAGGUUAAUUAUGAUUUAUUAAUAUAUUAUGAGAAUAAUAUAUUAAAGGAGAAAUCAUAUUGUUCAAUUAAUAUUAGUCAAGAAUUAAUUAAGAAUUAAUUUUGUGGCUAAAAGAGAUUAAUUAAACUUAAGGGACUGGAAUUGUAAUUAUAAGAUAAUUACAAGAGUGGGGUAAUGGACUCCAUAGAGUGGAGUGGACGAAAUUUAUGGGGAAGCCCAUAAGAUUUCGUCCAUGACUCUAAAGAAAGGGAUCCAUGGGCUGCUUAGGGCCUAAGCAGUCAAAUUAGGGUUUCCUAGUUGAAAACCUAAUAGCCUACAUGUAUAUAAAGGGAACCUAUGCCCCAAAAACGUGGCUAUGAGUUCCUUUAGGGUUUCUAGAUGUUUUGGGCAGCCUCCUAUCUUCUCUUAUUUAUCUAGUUGCUUAGUGGUGUUUGUGACUCCAUUAGAGGUGCAACACUUGAGGCACUAAGCUUUCUGAAGCCAAUCAAAGCAAGGAAGUGAUUGUUAUUACAAUAUAACAAUCAAAGGUAAUUACUAAACCCUUAUUUCAGUUCUUAUAUGAUAGAUCUAGGGUUUAUAGCUUUGGAUAUUCAAUUGCAUGUUCAUUAGACAAACUAGAUCCAAAAGCUAUUAGGGUUUGCAUGUACACCAUAGGAUUGAUGUUUUGCUUAAAACCCAUCAUCCUUUUGUCCCGAGAAUGUCUUCACCACUACAAAAAAUAUUUCAAACAUAAUAAGUACCUUUUGUUCUAGAAAUAACACAAAAUGUAGCAUAAAUAUAAAGAUCAUGUAUGAAAGAUAUAACUAAAUAAGCACACAUCAAAAUACCCCACACUUGACUUUUUGCUUGCCACCAUGCAAUGCUGAAUUUUAAAACACCAAUACUUCACAAGACAAUCCAAAUUCAACACAACCAUUAUGCCAAGACCGCAACACAUGUAUUUUUGUCUACAUUUUCCUAAGAACCUCCUUAAUCCUAAAUACUCACAAUCUUCAUAAACACUUGUCUACUUCUUUUGAACAACGCUCAUUUUUUGCAUCAAUCCGUAUCUAUCCAUAGAAAAAUUUCUUAAUCUCAAGGUAUUUAUGGUUAAACCCUAAGAAUACAUAUGGAAGAAUAACCUAGAAAAUAAAAAAUUAAAAAAAUAACUUAGCAACUUUCGUCUUUGAAUCUUUGAUGAUGAUAUUUGUUCGUCUUCAUAGCUUCGUAGAUUCUUCAAACUUGGCAAUUCUUUUUUUUAACUUUUUCUUUCUUUUUUCGCAACUUUUUUCAAUGUUUAUCUUUUUUUCACUUUUUUUUUCUUUUUUUUUAACAUACUCACUUUUUUUCACUCAAAACUAAAAAUCCUAGAAAAACAUAUGCUAAACCAAGGGAAUUUAACUUCAACAUUUUAUUGGUUAGAGGUAUUACUCUAAUGUGCAGUGACUACAUAAGCUCUCUUGGAUACAUUUCAAGUUCAUGAUGUUAAAUAUAUUGCGUCCCUCAAACUUAGCUUCCAUGAUUUCACUAGGAUAAGGAGACCACAAAUACACUAUAACAUAUGUUGGCUCAACUAAACAUUUAGGUCCGCAUCGAAUCAUCAAACACAAUACUAGCAUGGAAUCCUAAUAAUGAAAAUUGAUUUUACUAUAAUUUUCUAAAUUAACCUAGCAAUUUUUAUGCAAUUUUUCAAAAAUUAUACUUAGAUUCUAAUAAUGUAACCAAACCCUUACCCCACACUUAAUUCAUGCAAUGUACGCAUUUCAUGUUAUACAUAAUAAAGAACAAGUAAAUAGGGAGAAAAGGAACAGACUCCUAAGGGAUAGAAGCGGCAAGGUUGAUUUUCUUCUCUAUGCUCUUCUUCAACUGACUUUGGCAUGGGAACAGCUCAUCCAUGCAUUGGUUGUCAUUCGUCUUUUGUGGUUGACAUCCUGUAACAUAACUGAAAAAAGCACUUUGGAAUGCUCUGAGAAUGGAAUCAAGAAGUCUGGAAAGUGCCUGCCUUGAGUAGGCACAAAUCAAUGACUUGAAAAGGUUGACUGAGGCUUAAACACGUCGAGUUUGUAUGGGUAACACAUCGUGUUUUUCUAUUGACCAGACGAAGAAUCGUGUACUUUGACCUGAACACGCCGUGUUUAAUUUUUACCACGACGUGUUUGCUCCCCAACGACAUAAGAAAGUGUCAACCAUGUCGUGGCAGCCAGGAUUAUACUUCUACUCUGCAUCAAAAUAAAACUCCAUGGUUUUGGAACAGCUCUUCCAUGCCAUAGGAAUCAUUGUAUAGUUAGAAACGCCACUCUUCGAAAUAAUAAUCCCCCAUAAUAUCGACGUGCACCCCACACUUAUUAAAAGUCGUGGCUCUCGAUUGUUAACUUCAAACUCUCACAUGACUUUUUCUCUCGUGAGAAAUUAGCAUUUGACCCCAAUUGUUGAAAUUUCUGAAAGCAUCCGAAGGGCAAAAAUUUCUGCAAAGAUUUGGAACAUCAAGAGCAUCAACAUGGAAAAUAAAAUUUAAACAAACUAAAAAUAAAAAUAAAAAACCACUAAAAUAACUAAAAAAUGGCAAACCAAAAUAACCAAAAAGGAUAUCACGAUCACUCAUCUUCAUCGAAAUCAAGCUACAAUUUUUGAUUAAAUCGCUUGCAUGCAAGAGGUUGUUUGUGAAAAAAUAAAUUUUCGGGACCUGUCAGACUAUUUCCUUUGUUUUCUUUGCACCCUUAACUAAAAAGUAGAAUAAGAGUUGACCUAACUAGUCAAGAGUAGCAAGAGUUCGGUCUUCCACUUAACCGCCUCGAUACGCCUUACUAUACUACGCCUCGUGGAUUUAGUUGGAAAAAUCACCAAAGUAGUAGAAUAAACAAGCCAACAAUUCCCUAAUCACUUGCAAUAUCGAAACCCAUGCAAAAAGUAAAACCAAGCAAUGCGUAUGAUCACGAAUACCUGCACAUAACCACAAAAACCUUCCCGACAAGUGACAUGAUAUGAAAGAAAAUAAAAUAAAAAUUAAAUUAAAUUAAAAAUUAAAAAAAUAACGAAUAAUCAAAUAAACUAAAUUAAUUGAAAAUCGUUCCCUGGCUAUGGCGCCAAAAACUUGAUGUGUAUAUUUAAUGCACUAUUUUUUAUUUAUAAUUCCUAGUUUAGACAAAUUACAUCUUAAAAUCAUAGAUAAUUGCGCAUACAAACUUAUUUAUUCAUAUUCACCAAUUUCUAAUAUGACUAGAUUCAUGUUCACUAAUACUAAUCCUUUGAUUUCAACAUAACUAUUAAUUCAUUGAUUAGGUGAGCAAACAAUCAUGCAAAUCAAUAUUUAGUUCGUAUUAAUCGUCCAGAGAAUGGUCAUUCUACUCAUGCACACACAUUAAAGUUCAUCACUUAAUUCCAAACCCUAGGUUUUUUUAUUCAAAUCAACAUAGUAAGAUGGUCAUCUAAACUCUAUCAAUUCAGCAAUAAGAGCAACUCCAACCAUUCUACUAAAAAUAUCACUAAAUUGGUGUAUUUUUAACACCAAAACUUUUUUUACUCCAACCACACACUAAAAAAUUACACUAAAAACAUAUUUUCAUAUUAUAAUAUAGAAUAGAAUAAUUAUUAAAGUUGUAAUAGUUAUAAAACUAACCAACAUAUUAUUUAACGAUUCGAAAAGUAGUUUUUGUGUGAUAAAUAGUGUUACACCAAAUAUAGAGGCCACUAUUCAAUCCCACCAUUUUUGUGUUGAGUUUAGUGGUCCAUUGGAACACAUUUUAACACCAAAACACUAUUUUUUGUAUCCAUUGGAGUUGGUCUAAGGAAUAAGUAACAAUCUCUAACACAUAUGGAUCUUGUAAUCAAACUUGACAAAAUAUAUUAAACACGAAUAAACAAUCCAAAUAGCAAUUAAUCCACAAAAUCAAGGUUUCACUCAAUCAUAAACACAAAGCAAAGGGUUUUAACACCCAAAUCAGAAAGUAAAUGCAUACAAAAUCACAUUUGAAGGAUAAUCUUGGUCAAAACAACGAACCACAUGAUUGUUGCAUGAAUCCGCUCUCCAAUCCUUCAGAUCUUAGCUCUUGUCAGCUUAACCGCCUUUCGGCCGCGUUCUAGACCCUAAAAACGAAUUCUUGGGGGCUUAUAAUCAUAGGAAUCGAUCAAGGGUUUAAGAUAUAUCAUUAAGUCUAAUUUUCGACUCUAUUUAUAGGUUUCAGCGUCAACACAGCGUGUUCGGAUAGAAACACGACAUGUUCUUCAUUAAAAUAUCGUAUUCCCCAAGUCAGUGUGAAGAAUCGUGAAGCUUCUACUCAACACGGUGUGUUUAUGAUAAACACAGCGUGUUCGUUGGGAAUCAACAUUUUCUCAAAACACGAAAGUCGUCCGACAUUGUGUCUAGGUUUCCACAACAUUUUGAAGCUCGACAAUCGAAGUUACAACUCAUGAGAUAUGGCCAAAACACUAACGAGGGGUCAAGUUGUUUAGCAACAUUCUUUUUUGUCUUCUUUUGGUUUUAUAUCCCGUUUUCCUACUUCCAGCUUCUCGUAUGCUUCCUUUUGUCCCGAGCAUGUCUUCCCCACUACAAAACAUAUUUCAAACAUAAUAAGUACCUUUCGUUCUAGAAUUCACACAAAAUGUAGCAUAAAAUUUAAAUAUAAUGUAUGAAAGAUAUAAAUAAAUAAGCACACAUAAAGAUACCCCACACUUGACUUUUUGCUUGCCCCAAGCAAAACUGAGUUUUAAAAUACCAACACCAUACAAGAAAAUCCACAUUAAACCCAACCAUUAUGCCUAGACCGCAACGCAUGUAUUUGUGUCUAUAUUUUUCUAAGAACCUCCUUAAUCCUAGAUACUCACAAUCUUCAUAAACACUUGUCCAAUUCUUUUGAACAACACUCAUUUUAUGCAUCCCUCCGAAUCCAUCCCUAGAAAACUUUCUUAACCUCAAGGUAUUUUUGGUUAAACCCACAAGCAUAUAUAUGGAAAAAUAACCUAGAAAAUAAAAAAUAAAAUAGAUAACUUAACAACUUUCGCCUUUGAAUAUUUGAUGAUGAUAUUCGUUCGUCUUCAUAGCUUUGUAGCUUCUUCAAACUUGGCAAUUCUCAUUUUUUUUCUACUUUUUUUUCUUUUUUUUCUUUCCUUUUUCACAACCUCUUUCAAUUUUUUUCUUUUUUUUCUUUUUUUUCUUUUUUUUAACAUAUUUAUUUUUUUCACUUAAAACUAAAAAUCCUAGAAAAAAUAUGCUUAAGCAAAGGAACUUAACUUCAACCUUUAUUGGUUAGAGGUAUUAGUCUAGUGUGCAAUGACCACAUAAGCUCUCCUGGAUACAUUUCAAGUACAUGAUGCUAAACAUAUUUCGUCCCUCAAAAUAACGAGGGUUAUGUUUUUGUUCUGUGAUUUCACUAGGAUAAGGAGGCCACAAAUACACUAUAACAUAUGUUGGCUCAACUAAUCAUUUAGGUCCGCAUCGAAUCAUCAAACACAAUACUAGCAUGGAAUCCUAAUAAUGAAAAUUGAUUUUACCAUAAUUUUCUAAGUUAACCUAGCAAUUUUUAUGCAAUUUUUCAAAAAUUAUACUUGUAUUCUAAUAAUGUAACCAACUCCCUACCCCACACUUAAUUCAUGCAAUGUUCGCAUUGCAUGUUAUGCAUAAUAAAGAACAAGUAAAUAGGGAAAAAAGAAACAGGCUCCCUUGGUAUAGAAGUGGCGAGGUUGAUUUUCUUCUCUAUGCUCUUCUUCAGCUGACUUUGGCAUGGGGACAGCUCAUCCAUGCAUUGGUUAUCAUUCAUCUUGUGUGGUUGACAGCACGUAACAUAACUGGAAAAAGCACUUUGGAACGCUCUGAGAAUGGAAUCAAGAAGUCCGGAAAGUGUCUGCCUUGAGUAGGCGCAAAUCAAUGACUUGAAAAGGUUGACUAAGGCUUAAACACGCUGAGUUUGUAUGGAAAACACAUCGUGUUUUUCUAUUGACCAGACAAAGAAUCGCGUACUUUGACCUGAACACGUCGUGUUUAAUUAGUACCACGACGUGUUUGCUCCCCCAUGACAUAAGAAAGUUUCAACCAUGUCGUGGCUGCGACGCCAAAAAGUUGAUGUGUAUAUUUAAUGCACUAGUUUUUAAUUUAUAAUUCCUAGUUUAUUACAUCUAAACCACACCUUAUAGACAAUGAACCCGAUCGAGUGUAGUAUAGUGUUUUAUAAGCAAGGGUGUCGAACACAAGGGGAACGGUAGUGAAUUAAUUUAAGAUGUUUGAUUAUAGGUUACACAAAACACAUUAGCAAUAAGAAGAGUUUUAUUAAAUACUUUAAAUAUCACUUAACAUCAAACAUCGAUAAACUGACUGGGAGACAAAUAUCUUUAGGUACUUUGGUUUGAUAAAUUACAUAUUAAAAUAAUAGAUAAUUAUGCACAUAGACUUAUUUAUUCAUGUUCACCAAUUUCUAAUAUGAUUAGGUUCAUGUUCACUAAUACUAAUCCUCUCAUUUUAACACGACUAUUAAUUGAUUGACCAAGUGAACAAACAAUCAUGCAAAUUUGUAUUUAGUUCGUAUUAAGCAAUAUUUGAUCUUAUUUAACCCUAAUGGUCGUAGGAAUUAAAUCAUGCAAAGAAUGGUCAUUCUACUCAUGCGCACACAUUAAAGUUCAUUACUUAAUUCCAAAUGCUAGGUUUUGGUCAAAAGACUAGUGGAUAACUUUGAUUUAAGUCAACAUAGUCAGAUGGUCAUCUAAACUCUAUCAAUUCAGCAAUAAGGAAUAAGCGACAUCCUCUAACACAGAUGGAUCUUGUUGUCAAGCUUAACAAAAUAAAUUAAACAUGAAUAAACAAUCCAAAUAGCCAUUAAUCCACAAAAUCAAGAUUUUAUUAAAUUAUAAACACAAAGCAAAGGGUUUUAACACCAAAUCAGAAAGUAAAUGCAUAUAGAAUAACAUUUGAAUGCUAACCUUGGUCGGAACAACGAACCACAUGAUUACUGGCAUGAAUUUGCUCUCCAAUCCUUCAGAUCUUCAUUCCUAUCAGCUUAACGGCCUUUCGACCACCUUCUAGACCCUCAAAACGACUUCUUGGGGUUUAUAAUCGCAGGAAUCGAUCUAGGGUUUAAGAUAUAUCCUUAAGUCUAAUUUUCGGCUCUAUUUAUAGGUUUUAGCAUCAUCACGACGUAUUUGUACACAGACACGGCGUGUUCUUCAUUAAAAUCUCGUAUUCCCCAAGUCAGCAUCAAGAUUUGUGUAGCUUCUAUUCAACAUGGUGUGUUCAUUGGGAAUUAACAUUUUCUCAAAACACGAAAGUCGUCCGAAAUUGUGUCUAGUUUUCAGAACAUUUUGAAGCUCGUCAAUCGGGGUUAUGAGUCAUGAGACAUGGCAAAACACUGACGAGGGGUCACGCUGUCCAACAACAUCCUUCUUUGUCUUCUUUUUUUUUUUGCUUUAUCUCCUGUUUUCCUGCUUCCAACUUCUCGUAUGCUUCCUUUUUUUGUGCCGAGCAUGUCUUCGCUACUAAAAAAAAUAUUUCAAACAUAAUAAGUACCUUCUUUCAUCUAGAAUUAACAUAGAAUGUAUCAUAAAAUAUAAUGAUAAUGUAUGAAAGAUAUAACUAAAUAACUACACAUCACCCCACAUACCUCCCGUACGCCCCGCGUAUGAGGCUUAGCUGCCCGAUCAUGCACGCCCUCCUACAAUAAGCGUAUAUGCACGUACGCCCAACAUACAAGGGGAGGGUCUUUUUGCCAAAAAUUAUGUUUGAGACUUUAAAAGAACACCUAGAUUUUGGAUGUUACAACUCUCCCCUACUAGACUUAGACUUCAUCAUCAAAGUCCGCUGAUGCAAAUAAAUCUGGGUAGUGCUUCCUCAUCUCAUCCUCCGGCUCCCAAGUCCACUCAGAUCCUCUUUGGUGCUGCCAUUGCACGUUUACCAAGUUCAAUAACUUAUUAUGCAGAUUUUUGUUCUUCCUAUCAAGAAUCGCGAUGGGCUUCUCAACAUAAUUCAAGUGCUCAUCCACCUGAAUGUCAUCUAGCAAGAUCACUGCAAAAUCAUCGGUGACACAUUUCCGCAACUGAGAUACAUGGAUAGUGUUAUGAAUCUGAAUAACCUCAUUUGGAAGAUCCAACCGAUAUGCAACCCUGCCAACCCGGGCAGAAAUCCUAAAUGGACCAAUGAAUCGGGGGCCUAACUUGCCCCUCUUCCGGAAUUGGAUGACACCUUUCCAACGUAACACCUUCAACAACACCAGAUCUCCCACUUGUAACUCGAUAUCUGAACGAUGUUGGUCAACAUAACUCUUUUGAAGACUCUACGCGAUCCACAACCUGUCGCGUACCUGCUGAAUCAACUCAGUGGUCUUAAGAACCACCUCGGUGCUUCCUAUGACCCGAUAACCAACCUCCCACCAAUAAAUCAAAUUCCUACACCUCCUUCCAUACAACAUCUCGAAUGGAGGUCGGUUGAUACUAGCAUGAUAGUUGUUGCUGUAGGAGAACUUUUCUAGCGGGAGGUAAGUAUCCUAACUCCCUCUAAAGUCUAGCACACAAGCACGACGCAUAUCCUCGAGCGUUUGGAUCGUCUGCUCACUCUGCGCAUCGAUUUGAGGGUGGUAAGUUGUAUUGACAUCAAUUGUGAUGGGUUUUGGCCAUAAGAACAUCCUAUGUGCUCAUACAAACCCUAAUGCUUGGAUUUAGGUUUCUCUAUUGUACAUGCAAUUCAUCCAAGACUAUAAACCCUAGAUCUAGCAUAUGAUAAUCAAUAUAACAUAUAAAUAAGGGUUUAGAUCAUACCUUGAUUGUUAUGUAGCAAUAACAAUCUCAAAUCCUCCUUGUAAUGAAUUUAGAAAGCUUAGAGUCACAAAUGUCACUCCUCUAAUGGUUCACAACCACCAAGAGCAACAGGAUGAUGAAGAGAAGAGAAGGAGGCUACCCAAAAUCGUCCAAAACCCUAAGGAGUUACUUCCACACGUUUUUGGUGCUCUAGGGAUCUUUAUAUAGUGAAGCUAUUAGGGUUAUCAAACAAGGAAACCCUAAUUUGGAUGCUUAGGCCCUAAGCAACCCAUGGACUCCUUCCUUAAAGGCGUAGGACGAUUUCUAAUGGGUUUCCCCAUAGAAUUCGUCCACUCCUUUAAUAUGGAGUCCAUUAGCUCAAUAUUCAACUAUCAUACAAUUGACAGUUCUGGUCCCUUAAGUUUAAUUAAACUCUUUUAGCCACAAAACUAAUUACCAAUUAAUUAUUGACUAAUAUUAAUUAAACAAUAUGAUUUCUCCAUUAAUAUAUUAUUCUCAUAAUAUAUUAAUAAAUCAUAUUUAAUCCUUUCUCUCCAUAAUUCAUCCUAUCAAGUUGCUUUGGUGAAGGCAACCCAAAAGGACCAUGCACCAUCGGGUCAAGUACAUACCAAAAUAGUUAUGGACUUAGACACUAAUCCAACAGUCUCCCACUUGGAUAAGUCUAAUAACUAUUAUGCGUAUGACUUCAGAUCCUGAUCUGCAAUCGUAGCUUUCCAAAGCCGCUGUCAACUCUGAUCCUAUCAGAUACGCGUGUCCUUUAGAUAAGGGAUCAUAUAUUCCUCCAUUCUAGAUAUCGUAUAAGACAUGAUUUCUAAUCAUUCUCUUUGUACUAUUUCUCGAUUUCCGAUUUAUGACGACUGACUAAUUGAACAAAUCAAAUUAGCCCUAGCCCGGCCGAGCAUUUACGUUUGUCAUCACUAAAUCAUCGAGGGGCCCAAAGAUAUCGCUUUUAUCCUACUUUGGAUAAAAGGAACGGAUAAACUUUGAUUCAAUGCUCGCUUGCACUCACUCACCGAAUCACACACAACAAUAUGUUUUAUAACACCAAGUUACUGGUGCGUUUACAUAUUAUCAAUGUGUAACCGACUCGCAAGAUACAACUCACACAUCUCGGUUUCAAGAAUAUAAGAUAUUAUCGUCUCACCAAUCACUCGUGAUAAAAUCCAUGAAGUGAUCCAAGUGAGCGUGGGUUUAAUCCAAUGCUCAAAUCAUAUUCAUAAGCACUCAUGAACGUUGCAGCAAACAUUUGCUUAUGUCUAAUACACUUUAGACAAUCCACACACCAAUUCACGACAGUCUUCAUUCAUACCUACUUCCAACAUAUGAACGACUGUGGUCCGUUCGAAUAAUUUGACUGUUCUGAACCAAUUAAAUUAUUCAGGAAGUCAAAACAUGCAAAGUGAAACACAAGAAUAAUACUAAUCCCAUAUGGCCUCAAACCUUUGAGUAUAAAUAAAACACCUUUUAUUUAUCACCAUAUCGAUUACUCAUUAUUUGUUGUUUCGGGUAAUCAACUUCUUACUUGAAUUAUUACUACACUUGUCCCAUGCUCUUAGCAUGCACACAAUGUUUACCUAUGGUCCUUACUUUGUGAAAUAGAUCAAAUGAACACAUUUCCAAUCAUACUCAUUUCACAACUCCCAAUCCUUAUCAUAAGUAUAAGAAUAUCAAAUUCUUGCCACUUAUAGAAUAUGCUAGAUUCUAACAUUUUAUGCAAUGAUUCUUUCGUAAAGUCAUAGCUCAAAAUCAUCAAGACUUGGCCAAUCUCUAUCAGAAACAAUUCUAUAGAUAUGAUGUCUCUCACUCAAAGUACAUUCCUUUGAACAUCCUUCUUGCAUAAAAGUUUCUAAUCUAGACAUAGAUUCUCAAUAUCCAACUCCCAAUAUGGAAACAUUUCCAUAUUUUCCAUAUGACAACUCAUUCUUAAUAGAAUCUUAUCUAUUCAUAAUAAUGUCGAUAUGGUCCAUCCAAUACUAUACUUCCAACUACUCACAAGCGACCAAUCCUCGGCGAACUUUGGAUUGUCCUUUGAUAGUUGUUUAAUUAUCUUAGUCAAAACCGAUUCUUGUCCUUUUUCCCUCUAAAUGCGCUAGACAUUUGGAAAAUUUUAGAAUGGUCAAAUAUUAUAGCAUUUGCAAUCGAUCCUAUACCCGAAGCGUAUGGGACACGAUGCAUAAUGUCUUACAUAAAGAUUUGAUACUUUAUCAAUCUUCUGCCAUAAUAUUUUAUGUUCUACGUUCUUAUAAUUCGAAUUAUGAAGAGGAAUGCCGUAAUCAUAAUCGAAAUUUAAGAACACACUAUGUAUCCUUGACUAAAUUUAUUAACAUUCCACAACCUAAGCCUUUAGAUUUGAAAUGAAGCAUAAUAUUCUCUCCCUUAAUUAUAGCAAAACAACUAUUCAACCCUUACGACUUUGCAAAGUAUGACUCUUGUUUUCUAUAAUUAAUAUUGCUAACUUGCAAUACUUGCCUUAAUAAUCAUGCAAUCAUAACAUUUAUGCUCCCACUAUCACGAUGAUUAUUAUAAACAUAACACUUAUGCUCCCACUAGCUUUGACAUGUAUUCAGAAACAGCUUAACUUUCAGAAAAACAAUGCCUAUUGAAUUUCUUUAAGUUCAUAUUUCUAAUACCCAAUGCUUUGAUAAUCUUUUAUCAAGGCUUCUUAAACUUAUACACCUUUGCCUUAGAUAGUUUAUAUGUGUGUCUUAAACAAUUUAGACUAAUUGCCAAAUCUCAUAAUUCGAAUCAUGGAAAGGGAUACCGUAACCAUAAUCGAAUUCGAGAAUACAAUUUUCACAAUCACUAUCUUCUUAAAAUCUUCCUUAGUGAAAGCAUUUCCUCACAGUCAUUUUCAUGAAGGAGGGAAUCUUAUGACACUUAGAUUUUAAUGGUGUAUGUGUUCCUAUCCAUGUGAAUUUGUCAAAACCAAAGUUUGCGACAAAUCCAAACUCAUAUGGACCGAACCUUCUCAAUCUUGAUUUCUUGCCUUAUGGUAACACGGCUGCCCACCAUGUCUUCCAAGUAGUUAAGCAGCUCACCCUUUCCUAUCAAUGUACUUUCAAUUGAUCAAGGUCCUUGCCUUUUAUGCAUUCAAAUGAGAACUCAUAGGGCUCACAUGCAUAAUUAACUCAAUUGGAAUGGCACAGAAACAAGGUAAUGUCAACACGAUAGGUUGUGGACCUCUACUCGUGUGCUAGUGAUGGCCGAUAAGGUUUAUUCUUGAUUUGCUCUUGAAACCUUUCAAGACCAUUAAGACUCCCAUUGAAUCCUUGACAUAUAAGAUUCUCUUGUCAAUAAACAUUUCUUGACAAACAAAUAUUCAAGAGUUAGUGUAGCCUAUAUCAAGACAAAACAUUUCAUAAAAUUGGUCCUAGUUGGUCUUUGUCUUAUCCAAGACAUCACAACUUUUGAAUUUCAAAUGUGCGAGAAUAGGAAAGCCUUUUUCCAAAUUCUACAUUUGAUGAAUGUUAUAAACCUUCUUAAGACUUGUCACUCAAUAUUACAAUCUUAACUCUAAGACUUGUUUUGGAAUGAAGUAUGAUUGACUUCUUGAUUUAACCAUUUCUUCAAUUCUUGAUUCCUCUUCUUAUACAUACAAUUGUACUAAGACUUAUUUAGAGGAUCAAUUGAAAUAUGGUUCUUAAUCAUUAAGACAUAUCAUAAAGUAUAAAAGGUACUCUCCCUUCUUCUUAGAAUAGAGAAACUUUUAUCUUUCUGCCUACUUGAUUCUUUUAUUCGUUCUGCUAUUGAUUUAAACCUUUUUCAAUCAAUUCAGAAUUACACUUAAUCUUAUAAGUAUAAUCAUAUUUACUAAUCCUUUAGUAAAUCAUGACGAAUAUCUUUGUUACCCUUGUGGUGGACUUGAUCAACACACAACUUUGUGUACUCGAUCUCCUAGUCCUUCACUUGACACUUUGUCAACGAAUUAGUCUAAUUUCCAAAUAUGAAAUUUCUCAUUCAUCGUGCAACCAAGUUGCAUGAUUCCAAGUUUCUGUCCAAUUGAAACUUGGGCGAUGAGAAACUCUCCCUAUUUGGUAAAUUCUUGACAUUUCCACUAUUAACAUAAUUAAGAAUCUUAUCCAUUCGUUGUAGAAAUAUGCAAACAUCAAUUUUUCAUAACGAUUUCAUUGCAAGGAAAUAAAUAAAUAAAUAAAUAAGUCAAAUCAAAAAUUUAUUUUAUUCAUAAAAGCAGCGGAAAACAUUUGUCCUUACAAUGCAAAAUCAACUGAAAAACUAUGUAGUCAAAUAUUCCUAACAAUUCUAUCAUAACUUUCUAAGCUCAAAAUCUAAUCUUCAAGUCCAUGCGAUCGAGAUCCAUUUCUUUGUGAUUAGACUCAUCUUGCUCUUCCAUCAAGCUUCCUCUCUUUUCACUGAUCCUGCAAAACAUUCAAAUGCAAUCUUAUCACAUCAUGUAUUAAGAAUCAACGAAUAGGAACUUAAUGGAGUUAGAUAGUGGAUUUUACCUGAAGCACAACCAUACUCUUUGACUCUCCCAUCUUCUGGACUCUUCAGGCUCUUAGGGCAGACUUGUAUCCAACGCCCUUUCUCUUGGCAGCAAACGCAGGUCGGUUCUCCUAGAACGUCCUCGGAAGCAUGGUUGGUUGACUUUCCCAACAAAUACGCUCCAUUGCUUUGCCAAAUCAUUUCUGAUUCAGCAGCAAUGAGCAUGUAAGUUAGGUCAAUGAGGUUUUCGUCAUGAUCCAUCAUAUAAUACUUUCUUUUGAACUCAUUAUAUGAUUCAGGGAGUGACUGCAGAACCCAGUUCACAGCCAACUUAUCAGGGAAUGACGCACCCAACAUUAUCAACCUAUCGAUGUGUGAUUUCAUUCCUAGAACGUGGGCACACACGGGUUUACCAUCUUCAUGUUUCAUUUCCAAUAGGGCUUUAGUGACAUUGAACCUUUCAAUUCUUCGAUCUUGUGGGUUAGGGAGAAUAAUUGGAGGAGGUGGAGGAAGUGAAGCAUGAUUUCUUGUUCCUCGAUCGAAUCGUGGAAUAUCAUCUUCAUGUGGAAUGCUUGUUCCACGGGAUUUGGGAAGACCAUAGUUGUCGUACUUUGACAUCUACAAAACGGGAGAAAACAAAUUCAAGUUAGUUGAUUGAUUGAGUCCUUAAUAAAUCACCCAAAUGAGAUAUUAAGGCUAGGACCCAACACAAUACGCUACAACCUAGAAAAGGGAUGUCGUAAUCUAGUUGCAGAAUAUUUGAAGGUGAGUGAAUGACGAUUCACUAAUUUCCACCAUAAAAAAUGAAAAAGAAAUUUAAGUUUUAAGUCUAUGAAAAAUCCUAGAUCCUUUUAGAUUCAUUGAACAUUUCAACGGCAUGUUUAAAUCUCGAUACGCCCCUCUAGUUUGUGACUGGGAUGCCGAGGAUCACAAAGCGGGUGUGAAUAACCAUGCAAACUUACAUGGUGCCCUCACAUGUUACAGUCACCUAUUCGAUGUGCCGGUAAACCACACACGCUCCACCGAACUAUGACAAACAUUGAGUCACCCUUUGCUACCUUUGCUUAGAACCAUUUAGUGUGCCGGUAAACCACACACGCUCCACUAACGUCUUCGCAAGGGCACAAAGUGUAAUUUCAUGGAAUUGCAUCAAUUCACUUUUUCCUAAGUAACUAAGAUUGAGAAUUUUGUAAAACAUUUAGUUACUUAUGUACUUCAUUUUACUUAUAAUGGAAGGUUCUGUCCUAUCCUACCCGUUCGGCUAACGACCCUCCACUAGUCAAGAGUGCGGUGGGUAAGAGUGGAUACCCAUUCAAUCGCCAUUUUAUAGGCAAUUUCCUUAAACACCCCUUAUAGACCAGCUUCGUGAAUGAGGCCUACUAACGGUAAGACUGACUUUUACUCAUACAUAUAUAUAAUGUUAGACUUUUAAUGUUAUAUAUAGUAUAGGGUGUAUUUUACACUUUUAAAAUACUAGGUGGUCAAAUUUAACAAUUAUACUUUUAAUUCAAUUAAAUUGUAAACCAAAACUUUAUGGAUUUAUUAAACCUCUUUUAAUUAUACACCUUAAUUAAUUAAUAAAACCAUAAGGGUGUGAUUUGAACUUUUCAAAACAAUACUAGGGUUUUAGAAUUUAACAUUCCUAAAUUAAACUUUUAAUCAACUUUUAAAUUCCAAAACUUGAGGGCAAGUUUUGAAACAUUUCAAAACAUUAGGGUUUAGAAUUUAAAUAUACAUCAAAAUUAAACUAUUAAUCAAAAUUUAAAUUCCAAAACUUGAGGGCAAGUUUUGAAACCUUUUUCAAAACAUUAGGGUUUCAACUAUUUAAAUUUCAAAACAAAACUUUUGAGUUCAAAUUUAAACUAUAAAACCUAAAGGGGAAAAUUGAAACUUUUCAUAACACAAGGAUCAAAUAACAAAUAAUAUAAAUUAAACAAUUAAUUUCAUCAUUAUCUAUAUUUGACCUAAUUUCAAUUUCUUGCAAAGUAAGUUACCCAAUUAAUACAAAUAAUCAAACUUUAUCAUAUAAGGAAGUUAUUAUCUAAUCAAUUGGUAAUUAUCUUUUGUUUAAUCAAGGAUAUACUCAUAAAUAUGUAUAAAAUCGGAUUUUAAUGAUCUAAAACAGAUAAGGCAAGUAUCCAUGAGAAAAACAGCAUGAAAUCCCGAAAUCCCCUCUUUCUGACGCACGAACUCGCCGAGUACCACACUGGACUCGCCGAGUUGAGGCCUACUCGCCUAGUACACUAUGCUACUCGCCGAGUUCAUCAGGCAGGGAGCUCAAAACUCGAUUUUGCAACUUGAACAAACAUACAAGGCAUCAAUACAAUAGAAACCAAUCAAGGCUUUGAUACCACUGAUGGGUUUUGGCCAUAAGAACAUCCUAUGUGCUUAUACAAACCCUAAUGCUUGGAUCUAGGUUUCUCUAUUAUACAUGCAAUUCAUCCAAGACUAGAAACCCUAGAUCUAGCAUAUGAUAAUCAAUAUAACAUAUAAAUAAGGGUUUAGAUCUUACCUUGAUUGUUAUGUAGCAAUAACAAUCUCAAAUCCUCCUUGUAAUGACUUUAGAAAGCUUAGAGUCAGAAAUGUCACUCCUCUAAUGGUUCACAAACACCAAGAGCAAGAGAAUGAAGAAGAGAAGAGAAGGAGGCUGCCCAAAAUCAUCCAAAACCCUAAGGAGUUACUUCCACACGUUUUUGGUGCUCUAGGGAUCUUUAUAUAGUGAAGCUAUUAGGGUUAUCAAACAAGGAAACCCUAAUUUGGAUGCUUAGGCCCUAAGCAACCCAUGGACUCCUUCCUUAAAGGCCUAGGACGAUUUCCAAUGGGUUUCCCCAUAGAAUUCGUCAACUCCUUUAAUAUGGAGUCCAUAAGCUCAAUAUUCAACUAUCAUACAAUUGACAGUUCUAGUCCCUUAAGUUUAAUUAAAUUCUUUUAGCCACAAAACUAAUUACCAAUUAAUUCUUGACUAAUAUUAAUUAAACAAUAUGAUUUCUCCAUUAAUAUAUUAUUCUCAUAAUAUAUUAAUAAAUCAUAUUUAAUCCUUUCUCUCCAUAAUUCAUCCUAUCAAGUUGCUUUGGUGAAGGAAACCCAAAAGGACCAUGCACCAUCUGGUCAAGUACAUACCAAAAUAGUUAUGGACUUAGACACUUAUCCAACAGUCUCCCACUUGGAUAAGUCUAAUAACUAUUCUGCAUAUGAGUUCAGAUCCUGAUCUGCAAUUAUAGCUUUCCAAACUGUCAACUCUAAUCUUAUCAGAUACGCUUGUCCUUUAGAUAAGGGAUCAUUUAUUCCUCCAUUCUAGAUAUCGUAUAGAUAUGAGACAUGAACUCUUCUCAGUCGUGGUCCCUAUAAAUAGAGGGUUAGUCAGAUGUUUUGUGGUUGUUGAUGCCUUAUUGUUCACAGCUUUCCAUCGAGUUGUACUAGACGUUUAUACCUAUAAAACGUGUGCAAACUUGGUUUAUUCUCUUUUCGCCUUUAUUCUUGUUUUGUAUGAUUGUGUUUGGUAUUGAUCACUGUUAAGAUACGUUAUUAGGACUUUACAAUUGGUAUCAGAGCAGAACCAACGUCAAAGGCAUUCUACAAUCGAUUUUGGAGCGAGUUCAUAUUGGCUUGAGACUAAGUUCGUGUUUUUCAGCAAGAGGGUUUUUGGUUUCAUCGAGAAACUGCAAAAAAACGUUGUUUAUGGCUCGAGCUUAUGACCAUAAUCUCUAUUUACGGCCGCAAUCUCAUCAUAGUUCUUCAUAGUUCGUCAACCGUGAAUUGCAUUCUUGAACCGUAAACCCGGAAUCGAAGACUGAGUAUUCUUGCAUCGUGAACCUUGGACCGUAUUCUCGUUUCAACCGAAAACUUAGAGUUUACGGCCGCAAACUUAGUGUUUACGGCCGCAAACCAAUUUUGGGCAGUAAACUCUUUUUGACAGUAAAUCGGAUUUUAACUAUGACAAAGAACUCAAUCUAAAUUUAAAUUUAAAUUUUAAUUAAUUUUAAUUUAUUUUAAUUAAUUUUUAAAAAAGGAAUCUCAAAGUCAAAAUCAUUUUCAAGAACUUGAUGUUGUCAUGGGCGCUACUACACGAAUUCCAAGGUUAAUGUCUGCUGAUGGUGUUCCCGAAUGGAAGUAUAGAAUAGAGAAAUACAUAAAAAUGAAAGACUUCAAGAUAUGGAAAUGCAUCAUCAAGGAUCCCGUCAGAAUAACCACUACAGUUGCAGGGAAAGUGGUUGAUAAAAAGAUAAAAAAUUACAUUGAUGAAGACUUUGAGAGUGUGUAAGAGCAGGAGAAGGCGUUGGCCAUCUUGACCAUGGCCCUGUCACCAGAUAUUGCUCAAGGGUUCAGAGAGUAUACGUCUGCUAAAGCUUUGUGGGAAGCCCUAAUUGAGGUUUAUGAAGGGAACGAAGACAUGCUAGAGAGUCGCCAAGACAUGCUGCGACAAUGAUUCAAUAUGUUCAAUUAUGUUCCUGGAAAGACUCUUGAAGCACAGCUGCAGCGAUUCACAACUCUCAAUACAGAAAUGACUAUGGCUGGGAUUUUCUAUACAAAGUCAGAAAUAAACAAGAAGCUACUUAAUGCUCUCCCAAAAUCAUGGGACAUGAAUGUAGCUAGCAUUAAGAAGACUAAGGAUCUCAGCCGUCUCUCUCUCGCUGAAGUGAUGACAGUCAUCAAGGCAUGUGAUAUUGAUGACAAGCAGCGGGAAAUGAACCAUGUAAACUCAUAUUCAGUUGCGAAUCUUGUCAUCUCUUCUAAAAAUGCUCUUUCAUCUUUUUCCUUUUCUCUUCCUUCUGCAGGUUGAUCAUUUAAUACUCCACAAGCUCAGAUUCAGACUUUCCCCACUCCAUCAGCUUCCUCUGCAUCAGUCAUGCCCUUCUCGCACAGUCAAUCAUUUGUGGCUUCUCAAGCCGCUUCAUCCUUAACUGGAGCUUCUUAUUCAAAGGGAAAGGAGGGUGAUGAGAAUCUUACACUUGCUUCGGGGCUUGUCAAUUGCUACAAUGCACUUGUAGACGGGGACCUUCCACCCCAACUGUCAUUUGCCGAUCUUGAUCAGAUUCACCCUAAAGACGUUGAGGAGAUGGAUAUUACAUGGCAAUUUGCCAUGGUAGUCUUUAAGGCGAAACAGUUUGCCAAAAAUACUGGAAAGAACAACUGGGGGAUGAGUGUUGACAAGAAGGUUGGGCUCAGCAAGGGAAAGCUGAGAUGUUUCAACUGCCACGAGCCAAGGCAUUUUGCUCGUGAUUGUCCACAGCCAGACAAAAGAUUAAAUAAUGAUAGGACAAUUGUUACAGUCGAAAACAAUCGAAGUGGUACUCAAAUGAACAACGAGAAGGCUAUGGUCGCUCAGUCAUUUGACUGGGAGGAUCAGAUGCAGGCCCUGAACUUGUCUAGACCUGAAACUGCCCACCUGGCACAAGUUUGUGAUGAUGCCCCAGCAGAGAUUGUGGCAGCUGAAGAUAAGAUGAUGGAGAUACAGUUUGCAUUGAUGGUAUCCUCUUCUCAUGAACCUAAUUCAACCGAGGUAAUUCUACCAUCAUGCUCUCAAGCCUGUAUUGAUUAUGUUAAAACUCUACAUGAGAAAAUUGAGACAUUAGGCAAUGAAGUAGAAAGCCUUAAGAUUCUUCGUGAACUUAAUGACUCAAUAAAAAGGGAAGUAGAAGACCUAAGAUAUGAAGGGUACCAACUUAGAAAAGGUCAAAAACCACUUAAAGCUCAAUUGGAAUAAAAAAUUAAGGACUUUAGGAGACUUCAGGAAGACUACAGUAAUAAAUGCGAAAAUUAUGAUUAUGUAGUGAAACAGAACGCUGAACUAGUGGCUGAAAUUGAAUCUUUAAAGGGAAAAUUUGAAACCGCUGAUUUUGAUUUUAGAAAAUAUGAUGUUUCAAGUGAGGUAGUUGCAAAUAUGAUAGACCACUGCAUGCAAUUUAAGAAAAAUCAAUCAAAGGGUCUAGGUUAUAAUCAAGUGCCCCUCCCUUCUAUAAUUCAUAUAAGCACAAGCCUUUUUCCAAAGAAGAGAUUGGUAAUGAACCGUUUAUGGUUUAUGGCAAGCCAUCUGGUUUUAUUUCAGGAGGAUUUAUUAAUGCUGAAAGUACUAACAUUUCUACUUCUCCUACAGAUUAAUCCUUGAAUCAGUCAAAGCACGAAGUUGAAGGAUAUGUUUCUGAAAAUAAAAUCGAGUCUAAACCUGAAGUUUUAGUUUUGAAUAAAGACAAUAUUUUUUCUGAUGUUUCAAAUGACAAUGUUUUUUGUGGUGGUGUUUCUAUUACUUCUGAUACUGUUUUGAAUGGUUUGAAAAAGUCUAGUUUGAAUAAUUUGGUUGACAAUUCUGAUGUGUGUGAUAAUGAUUUUGAGAAACCACUAGUUUCACAAACUUCUCCAUCUAAUGUACCCUCGCUUGCCUCACAACCUAAUUCAUGUUCAUGUUCUUGUGAGAGAAGCAAGGGUGAUAGUAUGGAAAACAAAUCUGAUCAAUGUAGCACAAGUUAUAACAAUAACAAACAAAUUUUUUUUCAAUUAUGGUGUUGGUGGUCAUAUAGCUAGAAAUUGUUAGAAUCGUAUGUUUGUACAUUUCGAAUUUCCAAGAGGAGACAACGAAUCCAGAGGAAGGUCUUUAACUAGAAAGUCCUCCAGAAAUAGUUCCCGGAAUGGUGAUUGGAAAGAUGAUCGAAGUAGAAAAUGAGCCAUUUUUCAAAAGCAUAAAAAGGUUUUUUUAUCACAAAGUCCCAGGCAGUUUGCCAAAACCGAGCAUGGCCAAGCCAAGGUCGGUUUCGUCAAGAGGCAGCAGUGAGUCUUCAACCAAAUAUAGUAGAAAACCCACAUGCUUUAAGCAAACUGAUACUCAUUAAAUCUCAAAAACACCCGGGACAAUUAGAAAACCCAAUUAUAAAUGGCUGCCCAAACUAGUCUCCAAUUCAUCUUCCGUGUCCUCUAAAAAUUCCGAAAAUUAUCAAUCUGAAAAGGCAUCGGGGCCACCCAGGAAAGUAAUGACUUGGGUUCUCAAAUCUAAUUAAACCUGCACAUUUUGCAGGGAUAGUUGCGGGGAAAUGUCGUCAGACCCUGGUUCGUCGACAACGACUGUUCCCGGCAUAUGACAGGAGAUAUCACCCAACUGCACAACAUUCAAUCAUUUAAUGGGGGAUACAUCUCCUUUGCGGGUGGAGAAGGUGGUAAAAUCACUCAAUGAGGAACUGUCUUGAAUGGGGUUUUAAGUUUUGAGAAUGUUAAUUUUGCUCCCGAGCUGAAGCAUAGUUUGUUAAGUGUUUCUUAGAUUUGUGACAAGGGCUAUUCUACGCAUUUCACUGAUAAGGAAUGCAUGAUUCUCAAGCCAAGCUUUGUCAUCCUAGAGCAGUGGAUUCUUGUACAAUCUAAAAGGGAUGGAAAUGCCUAUAUCAUUGAUAUGAAUAGCAAUCUUCCAGAACAAGUCACGUGCCUUUUCUCCAAGAUCUCCGAACAAACUACAAUGUUGUGGCACAGAAGACUAGGUCAUGCUAAUGCCAAGAACUUGAAUCGUCUUGUGAAGAAUGAGAUGGUCUGUGGAUUGCCUGUCAAGGACUUUGUUACGUUUGAAAAAUGUGUGUCAUGUGCCCAAGGAAAGCAUCAUAAAAAACCACACAUGCCAAAACAGGUCAACUCAAUUAGCCAGUUGCUUCAAUUGCUUCAUAUGGAUUUGUUUGGACCAGUAAAUGUUCUCAGCAUCAACAUAAAUUCUUAUUGCCUGGUUGUGAUUGAUGAUUUCUCUCAGUUUAUGUGGGUUUUCUUUCUAUCCAACAAAGCUGGAGUUGCUGAUUUGAUCAAGAAGUUCAUUGUAUUAGUUGAGAACCAAACUAACAAUCGAGUGAAGGCGCUUCGUACCGACAACGGUACAGAAUUCAAGAAUUCUAUACUCGAUCACUUUUGCGUAGAAAAGGAUAUCCUACAUCAAUUCAGUUCUGCUCACACACCUCAACAAAAUGGUGUUGCUGAAAGAAGGAACGGAAAUUUAAAGAACGCCGCAAGGACGAUGCUGUGUGAUUCAAAGCUACCGGUUUUCUUUUGGGCCGAGGCGAUAAACACUGCUUGUUAUGUUCAGAAUCGAGUGUUGAUCAACAAAGCUCAGAUUGAGACUCCUUAUGAGAUUCUCUAUGGUCACAAGCCAUCAGUCAGUCAUUUCCGUGUAUUUGGCUGCCCUUACACUCUUCUUCACUUAGAUGCCAACCCGAAGUUAAAUGCAAAGGCGGAUGACUGUUACUUCGUAGGGUAUGCUGAUCGCACUGCCUAUAGAGUCUACAAUAAGAAGACAAAAUAGAUUGUGGAAUCGUAUGAUGUGCGUUGGUUGGAAGAAAAUGAGAUGGACGCUAGAGUGGGUCCGAAUUGGCUGUUUGAUUACACAUCGCUAUUCAAAUCAAUAAAUGUGUCUUCGAGUGGCUCAUCUGGAUCUGUUUCUGGUUUGAAGAAGAUUUCUGAAGACGAAGACGAAGAAGUUGUCUACAGACCUCCAUCUGAACCCCCUUCUUCAUUCAAAAGGAAGUCUUUGGUUUCAUCUGAGGGGGGGUCCUCUGCUAUGUCUGAGGGAGAGUCCUCUGCUAUGCCUGAGCGGGUGUUCUCUACUUCACCAGAGAGGGAGUCAUCUGCGCAACUUGAUAGUCCUAAAUCUCCAGUCCAAAACGAUACUCCUAAUGCUGAAGCUACUCUAUCUACACCCAUGGAGAGAGAGUUCAUUCCCAAUGACGCUUCCGCAACCACAUCAACCUUUAUGGAACUACUCUUUCCUGAAUUUAUUUCUAAUGAGUUCGUGGCAGAGCCUUCUGGAGUGGCUCAAUAAGUAAAUGAAGGAGGUAUNCCCUCCACCCUCUUCUUCUCCCUCUCAAUGAUAUCAGCCAAGAGAUACCUUCAAGAGUUCAACGCAAUCAUCCGAUCGAUAACAUCAUUGGUCAGCUGGGCGACGGUGUUAAAACGAGAAGUCAGAGUGGAGAUGUUAAUACUUGUCUCUACUCUUGCUUUAUUUCUCAAAUAGAUCCCAAGAAUGUUGAAAUGGCUCUGAAUGAACCCAUCUGGGUAGAUGCAAUGCAUGAGGAACUACAUCAAUUUGAAAAACUCGGUGUUUGGAAGUUAGUUGAGUUACCAAAGGGUAAGAGGUCUCUUGACACAAGAUGGGUUUAUCGCAAUAAGUAGGACGAUUCAGGGUUAUUGUGCGAAAUAAAGCUCGAUUGGUGGUUCGUGGGUUUUGACAAGUCGAGGGUCUUGAUUACACUGAAGUUUAUGCUCCAGUAGCUCGCCUGGAGGCUAUUCGUAUCUUUCUAGCAUAUGCUUCUUACAUGAACUUUACCGUGUAUCAAAUGGACGUCAAGACUGCCUUCUUGUAUGGCAAGGUGAAGGAAGAAAUCUACGUUGAUCAACCUCCUGGGUUCGUUGACUCAAAAUUUCCUAAUCAUGUCUACAAGUUGGACAAGGCAUUGAAUGGGUUACAUCAAGCUCCUCGAGCGUGGUAUGCAACUCUAACAUCGCAUUUGCUCGAGCAUGGUUAUUCACGUGGCACCAUCGAUCAGAAUUUGUUUAUCAAGCAUGUCGGAAAUGAUCAAAUUCUUGUGCAAAUCUAUGUUGACGACAUCAUCUUUGGUUCAACCAGUCCGCAGCUCUGCAAAGAAUUUGAAGGUGUAAUGAAGAAACGGUUCGAAAUGAGUACAUUGGGAGAAAAGACCAUGUUUUUGGGGCUUCAGGUUAAACAGAAUUCAACCAGAAUCCUGCUACAUCAAGCCAAGUAUGUGGAGGAUAUUCUUGAGAAGUUCGAGUUUCACGAUGCUAAAUCUACUUCACCACCAAUGGCUAAACGACCUCUUCUGACUCCGGAUCCUGAAGGCGAAUCCGUAGAUCAUACUCACUAUUGAUCGAUGAUCGGAUCGCUGAUGUAUCUUACUGCAAGCCGACCUGACAUCAUGUUUACAGUUUGUCAAUGCGCACGUUAUCAGGCUAAUCCUAAACUUUCACAUCUUAUUGCUGUCAAAAGAAUCUUUCGGUAUAUCAAAGGGAUCCCAAAAUUGUGUCUUUGGUAUCCGAAGAAUUCUGAAUUUGAUCUUUAUGCUUUUGCUGACAGUAAUUAUGGAGGCUGUGAGCUUGAUAGGAAAUCAACCUCAGGAGGAUGUCAAUACCUAGGUGAAAGACUAGUUUAGUGGCAAUGCAAGAAGCAACACACUAUCUCAACUUGCACAGCGGAGGCGGAAUACGUUGCUGCAUCGGCUUGCUGCAAGUUAUCUGGAUCCAACAUCAGCUGUUGGACUACGGUUUGAAUUAUUUAGAAACCUCCAUUUAUUGUGAUAAUGAAGCUGCUAUUGAUUUGCCAAAAACCCAGUCCAACAAUCUAAAACCAAGCGCAUCGACAUUAAAAUUCAUUUCAUCAGAGAUUGUUAUGGACGUUCGCUAAUCCGGCUGGAACAGGUCCACACUGAUAAUAAUGUGGUGGACUUGUUCACAAAGCCAUUUAACAAAGCUCGCUUCGAUGUGCUUGUAGGUUUUCUGAAAAUGAUUCGCUUUGAGGAUUAAGUUUUUUUUUCUCAAUUUUUCAGUUUUAUUUUUGUUUUUAAUUUUAUUUUUUAUUUUUAUUUUUUAAUUUCUUAGGAUAGAUUAAAUUUGUGCAUUUCAUUUUCUUUUAUUUUUAUUCUCACCCAUGCACAAAUUUAGGGGGAGAAAUAAUAAAAAAAAAAAUCCAAAAACAAUAAAAAAUCCAAAAAUUCAAAAACAAUAAAAAAAAACUCAGAAAAUUAAAAAUAUUGCUGAUAGUUUUGUUUGUAGGUGUUGUGACGGGAAAUGAAAUAAGCAAGUGAUAACGGGCAAUCUGAAUUGGCGUAACGUAACUAAGUUGAAUCGUCUACGCUCUGUGUUUGAUGCGAUGGUAGGCACGAAAGUUUUAAAUGGNGACUUGAUUAGGGAAAGUUGAACCUAAUGAAUUUAAGGACUUGACAAACUUUGACCUAGUUAGAUCCGUUUAACCUGAUUUCACGACGCUCGGAUAGGUUGAGCAGGGAGAUAUACAUGGGAAUCUAUUGGUCACAUUAAAUAACCCGUAUCUAGAACUGUGGAUUCACUAUUCCUCGAUGUGUGGAUUUUGUCCUUAAUUCCGGUUGGAUGUGGCGACUGGUAAAUUCUGAUAAAUUAGGUGUGUAGAAAAUUGUUUUCUUUUUUUUUUCUGUCUGUUAGUCAUAUGUUCCCUCCUCUGUGUGAUCAGGAGAUCGGACCUGGACUGUAACAUAUGCAACUCUAUUUCUCUGCAUAUUAUAUCUAUGAAAUUCCUCUUAUCUGUUAGCCAUAUGUUGUCUCCUUUGCGUAACUUUCAAUCCGACCUGGAACACAACAUAUGCAACCUUCUACUUCUCAAUCCCUCUAAAACAAUAAGUAAUAGCAAUCUGAAUCUAUCCUCUCUCCGAAUGAUUGUCUGCUCACCCGAUGUAAGGAGUACUCUGGAAGUCCUUGAUGGUUGGGCAUAUCAGGAAGCGGGAAACACGUUCUAGUACACUUAAAAUUAAACACAUACAGAUUGUCUGUAGAUCUCGCUGCUCGAUUUAGGUGGACAACAAUAUCCCUGGUUGUAGUCAGUUAAAUGGCCAUANAAAAUUUUAUUUAAGAAUUAGGGCCAAUCAUGAUAAUAAAAUUAUAAUCAUCUAUAUUAAUGUUUUCUUUUCAUUGUUAGUUUGUCCAAAAUUGUCACAAAUUUUUCAUGUUUAAGUGGACCACAAUACUGGUGAUCGAUCAGACAAAGAUGUGAAGAUAAGGGUACUGACAAGUAGAAUAAGACUGUCCAACAACUUUGAUCCCAGCGUCACAAAUUCAGUCAUAGUAGUUAAAUUUUUGAGAUUAUGUUUUAGUUGAAGCUAAAUUAUUUUAUUUUAUUUUAUUUUUAUUUUUAUUUCAACUUUUAGCUAUUAAAAUUUAUAAGUUUUUAUUUUUAUUUUUAUUUUUUGCUUUUUAUUUUAUUAUACAUAAUUAUGUUUCUUUUAUUUUAUUUUUUAUUUUUAAAUUUUAAUUUUACCUUUAGUAAAAAUCCUCAAAAAGAAUUAUUUUUAAAUUUUUAACUGUGUUGGACUCUGCUCUAUACUGUGUGGUUAUCAGAUAAAUGGUAAAUGGGCAUAAAAGGAGUUUACCGCCGGAAUCUCCUUCAUUCUCAAGAUUCCGGCCGCAUACUUCUCUCCCACUCUCUCUCUCCUAAAAAAAAUUGUCAAAUCUUGCAAAUCUAAUCCGAUAGUCUCGAAGGUAAUGUGUUCUAGAUCAGAAAUAUGUAUUUUAUUGUGAGAUUAACCGAGUUAUCGAAGCAGAAAUCGAGAAAAAUGAUUCGACGGAGUUUACGGCCGUAAGCUUGGGCCGCAAACUCUGUUCUUGGGUCGUAAACUAGUGUUUGACCGCAAAUUGCUUGCGACCGCAAACUUCGAUUAAUUAUUGUCCCGAUUUGCGACCGUGUACUCUUAAUUAAGUGCAAUCAUCAUGUUUUGAUCGUAAAUUGUGUUCAUCGACGGUAAACUCUGUUCUACGGCCGCAAACUAUGUUCUUGGGCCGCAAACUGUUGUUGACCGAGAAUUUGUGUUGACUGCCAAUUUGGAUUUGAUUUAAAUGAAUGUUUUUUUUUUAAAUUUUGACCCAAAUUUUAAAAUAAAAAUAAUUAAUAUUAUUUUUGGGAUCAAAAUUAAAGUUAAAUUUUUUUGUUGUUCGUUUGGCUUGUGUUUUUGUCUUUCUUAGUAUGGUUGAGUGCAGGAUAAUGGUUAACUUGAAAUUUGCGGAUAUGCACAAUCUUGCUAUUGUCUUGGCAGAUCCUCCAGCUGUUCACUCGGAUCUUCGGUCGAUGAUUCACAGACUUCGGGAGUGCUGCCUGGCUUCUGCUAUUACAAUAAAUCCUGUUGUUUACUAGAAUUUAAUUAGAGAAUUCUGGGCGACUGCCAACAUGGACAUGAGCGAUGCCGGUCAUUUUCCUGUUAAAGCUAUGGUUCAAGGACGCGAAAUUGUGAUCAAUGAAAGCUUUAUCAAAGAGAUGUUGUUGAUUGACGAUCAACCUAAUUUUCCUACUGAGAUUGGGAUUGAAGACACUCAAAGAAUUCUGAGGAGAAUGAGUUAUGAAGGCACUUCACCUCCAACUUUAAAGAAGCUCUUACAUCCGUAUUGGAGAUUUUUAGCACACGUGUUUGUUAGCUCAUUUCAGGGAGAAGAUCGGGAGCAGAUGAGAUUUUUCAAAGGAAUACCGAUGCAAUUGUUUCUCUCACUGCAGGAGUGAAAUUCUACUUUUCGAGAUUCAUCUUGGAUGAGUUUGUUAUGAACAUUCGAGCUUCAACUCAGGAUACUUUCUUAUUGUAUCCCAGAUUCAUUCAGUUGUUCAUCGAUGCUCAGUUUCUAGAUGUGAGAAAAGAAGGUGAUAUUUUGGAUAUGAAAUCAUUGGGUCCUCAUACUGUAGGACUCAUCAAGCAGAAUCGUAGAAGAAAGGUUAUCUUUCAAGGAAAAUUCCCGCUUGAAAAGUUUGGAAAGUUUACUGAACUUAAUGAACCUACAGAAUCUUAUGGUUCAUUUGACGAGGCUUCUUCUGAGCCUGCAUCUUCUGAGAAGUCAUCUCCAAACAACGUUGUUAUUGAUGUAUCUGAGGAUGAAAGUACUAAAAAGGAAGAUACUCCUACUCCUGACGCUCAUGUGGCAGAGGAACAUGGCGAAAUGUCUAAUCGUGCUCAAGGUGAUGAUUUAGGAAUGAAUGUGAAUUUUGAAGCAAAUGUUGAAGGUGAUAAAGAUGAUUCCUUUAGUGAUCUUGAUCUCACUGGUUUUGAUCAUGAUGAUAUUACAGCUUCUCUUGCCAGUAGUGCUGACUUGGUGUCGAAUGAGAAUCUUGACACAAUCUUUAACAAUGUCGAUGAUGUUGUUCUUCCAACAACGGAGACUAGGGAGUCUAAUGAAGUUUUUGAAACUGCAACCCCUACUUCAGACCAAAUGGCAAGUGUUUCCAUUCCAAUGGAGACGGUUAUGGGAUGUUCCCCUCCUGUUUCUAUUCCUCCUACUUCAUCAAUCUUUAACAAUGUCGAUGAUGUUGUUCUUCCAACAACGGAGACUAGGGAGUCUAAUGAAGUUUUUGAAACUGCAACCCCUACUUCAGACCAAAUGGCAAGUGUUUCCAUUCCAAUGGAGACGGUUAUGGGAUGUUCCCCUCCUGUUUCUAUUCCUCCUACUUCAUAGCUAUUUGUGAGUGAUUUUGCAACAACACAAUCUGAUCAACCUCCAUUGAAAAGACAAAGAAGGGAUCCGAGGCAGAGUGAGUUAAUUGAGAGUCUCGUUAGCGGCCUCCCAGUACCACCUACUACUACUACUACUCCCAGUCUUACCACAACCAAACUUUUUUCUGUGGGUCCAGACACUACCUUUGAGGUUGGUGGUUCCUCUAUUUCACCAGGGUUUACUCCUCCUCGAUGUGAUCAUGAUGAGACUUCUAUGAGAUUAGCUAUGCAUUUGGCUGAGGAUCAAUUUCUGAUGCCGUCUCCUCGCUGUAAAGGUAUUGCUAUAGGGGAUGGUGGUUCUGGAGAAGACAACCUAACUAUCUCAGGGCUACAGAAGGAGAUAUCAGUGCUGAGUCAGAAAAACAUUGAGCUUGACAUUCGCGUGUCAGGUCUUCAAGCUGAAAAUUCAAAGCUUAAUGUUCAAGUGUCUGAGCUUCAAUCUGAUAAUUUAAAGCUUGGUAUGCAAGUAGCUGAUCUUACUGAGGACAAAGAGCUAAAGUCAAAACAGAUUUCCGAUCUCCAAGAUCACUUCAAUCUCUUGACUUCAAGCUAUUUUGAGCUAAAGAAGAAACUUGAAGAAGACCUCGGUGAUAAAUACCAGACGUCUGCUGAUGAAUACAAGAUUAAUCUACAUGUCCAAGCUUUUCCAGUUUCUUUGCCAACUGGUCAAACAUCAGGAGCUGUUAAUCGUGUUGAGGAUGAGCCUCCUUAAGCCCCCCAUGUUUCAGCAACCAUUCGCGAUGCACAAGAGGAAGCAGGUAAGAAAGGGCAACUUUUGUUUAAAAGAAACCCUAAUCAGAAUGCUUCUUGGGAUGAACCUGCGAUUACAAUGACUGAUCUUGAAGUCAUUCGAUUCAGAGAUACUUUCGGUGAUAGGUCGGGAAUUUUUUCAUGGGGAUUUCUUGAUCCUCUCAAGAUGUGAAUAGUGCUAAGGAAACGUGGUAACUCUGAGCUUUACAGAGAUAGUCAUGAUUUUAGUUCAUGGACUAGGGUCAGUCUGUCAGAAUUAUCUCGAGCUCCUUUCUUUAAUCUCACAAACAAUCCACAUGCGACUCAGUUUAAGCACAUCCUUGAAGAUCAAGUUAAGAAAGGGUUUCCUGCCAUGAAAACUGCUGAGUCCAUCAUAGUAGAGCAUCCUGACAUCAUUGAUCCUAAAACUGACAAGCCUUUGCAAGUUGUGAUGUGGAACGCAACCAAGCAGGUCAAACAGUUCUUUGUGCUUCAAACUUAUCAAGAUGUAUCUCUAAGUUCAAUGGAGUGUUGGGUUUUCGAUGAAAUUACUUCCGCUACGGUCAUCAAGCUCAAGAAUGGAUGCAUUCGACUCUAUGAUCGAAGAGAUUUAUUACAGUUUCGAACGUGGGAUAUUCAUCACCUAAGCAACUUUCAAAUUUUGGUGGCGGAGGAUGCUUUUCAAGAUGCUGCGAAGGUAUAUACGACUAUGGUUGAUGAGAUUCUUAACAAGCGCAUGUGGAAUGGGGCAAUGGGGCAAGCAAACGUUAUGGUGGUCAAUAAAGGUUAACUUCAAGCUAGCACCAAACAUGGGGGGAAAUUGAAGGGCUCAACUUAGUGGUUUGCUCUAGGCUUAGCAAUGUAAUAGUAGUUUGGUGUAGUUGGAGUAUGUUGUAGCUAGUUUAUGGUUGUAAUGAGUUUACGGUCGUGAACACCUUACGGCCGUAAACUCUUCUCGGUCAUGGUCCCUAUAAAUAGAGGGUUAGUCAGAUGUUUUGUGGUUGUUGAUGCCUUAUUGUUCACGGCUUUCCAUCGAUUUGUACCAUACGUUUAUAGCUAUAAAACAUGUGCAAGCUUGGUUUAUUCUCUUUUCGAUACUAGCAUGAUAGUUGUUGCUGUAGGAGAACUUUUCUAGUUGGAGGUAAGUAUCCCAACUCGCUGUAAAGUCUAGCACGCAAGCACGACGCAUACCCUCGAGCGUUUGGAUCGUCUACUCGCUCUGCCCAUCGGUUUGAGGGUGGUAAGUUGUAUUGAGGUCAAUUGAGUGUCCAACUCCUCAUGGAACUUCCUCCAAAAUCUGGAAGUGAAACGAACAUCACGAUCCAUGACCACAUAUACCGGCACCCCAUGCUUGACUACCACCUCCCGAACAUAAAUAUCCGCUAACUUUUUUAUGGAUAUGCUCUCGGCAAUCGGAAUAAAAUGUGCACUCUUGGUCAGUCUAUCCACAAUAACCCAUAUAUAAUCAACGCUCUGCGCCGUCCUGGGUUACUAGGUGAUAAAAUCGAUAGUGAUCUCCUCCCAUUUCCACAUGGGGAUGAGUAACGAUUGUACCUUGCCAUGAGGUCUCUAAUGUUCCGCUUUGACCUUCCUACAAUCCAAACAUCGUUCAACAAACUAAGCAACCUCCCUCUUCAUACAGGGCCACCAGUAACUCAAUCUCAAAUCCUGGUACAUCUUAGUGGCCUUUGGAUGGAUAGAAAACUUAGACUUAUGUGCCUCCUCCAAAAUCUUCUUCCUCACCCCACCGGAUGCCAGAACCCAAACCCUACCACGCUGAGUCAAUAAUCCACAACUAUCUCUAUCAAACAACAAAAUCUGCCUUCUAAUUCGCUCAAUCUUCCAAUUUUCCUUUUCCAAUCCUUCUACCUGAGCCUCCUUGAUCGAAUCCAACAAGUGUGAAAUAACAGUCAUCCUAAAACAGAUAUCUCAGAGUGGUGAGCACACCUCCUUACGGCUCAAAGCAUCAGCCACCACAUUGGUCUUCCUUAGGUGAUAAAAAUAUUGCAGUCGUAAUCGUUUACCACAUCUAACCACCUCCAUUGUCACAUAUUCAAGUUCGUAUGAUCCAUCAAAUACUUUAAACUCUUAUGAUUGGUGUAGAUAGUGCAUCGGACCCCGUAUAAAUUGUGCCUCCAAAUCUUGAGGGAAAACACCACUGCCCCUAAUUCCAAACCAUACGCGGGGUAAUUCGCGUCAUGAGGCUUCAGCUGCCUCGAGGCGUAAGCAAUCACAUGCCAUCUCUGCAUAAGGACAACACCCAAACCCUAAAUAAAAGUGUUGCAAUACACCACGAAAUUAUCUAAUCCCUCGGGUAAUGCAAGAAUUGGGGCUUCGCAUAGCCUCUGCCUUAGAGUCUCAAAGGCCAACUGCUGAUCUUGAGCCCACUGAAAGGUCACAUUCUUCUUGGUCAAGCGGGUUAAAGGAACUGCAAUCUUGGAGAAGUCCUUAAUAAACCUCUGAUAAUACCUCGCAAGACCCAAGAAACUCCGGAUCUCGGAUGCGUUCUUCGGAACCUCCCAAGACAUCAUAUCCUCAAUCUUGGUCGGGUCCACCAAGAUAACCUUCUGGUUGAUGAUGUACCCCAGAAACCGCACCUCACGCAACUAAAACUCACAUGCUGCUCAUCUUGCUCCUUGGUCUUAGAGUAGACCAAAAUAUCAUCAAUUAAAACAAUUACAGACUGAUACAACAUCGGCCUGCAAACCCGAUUCAUAAGAUCCAUGAACGCCGCUAGUGCAUUGGUGAGCCCAAAUGGCAUCACCACGAACUCGUAAUGCCCAUAACAAGUUCUGAAGGUUAUCUUCUGCACAUCCUCAUCCCUGAUCCUCAUCUGAUGGUAUCCCAACCUAAGAUCAAUCUUGGAGAACCAAGAUGCACCCUGAAGCUAAUCAAAUAAAUCGUCGAUCCUCAGAUGUGGGUAACGAUUCUUCACUGUUAUCCUUUUCCAUUCUCGAUGAUCGAUACACAUCCUCUGUUACCCAUCCUUCUUUUUCACUAACAGGAUCAACACUCCCCAUGAGGAACUGCUUGGGUUACUAAAACCCUUGACUAGUAACUCUUGCAGCUGCGUAGACAACUCAUGCAUCUCAGGCGGGCUAGGCAAUACGGUGCAUUGGCGAUAGGAGCCGGACCAGGCAUCAAAUCAAUCUAGAAAUCAACUUGCCUCUCGGGAGGCACUUACGACAACUCGUCAGGAAAAACAUUGGGAAAGUCCCACACAAUGGGUAGCCUACUUAACUCUGUCAUGGCCUCAACCCUGUAUCCGAAACUUAAGCCAAAAAUUCGGAACAACCCUGCUGAAGUUGAUGGGUUUUAAGCAUUCUAAUACUCAUAUGUUGUGCAUGCAACCCUAUGUGCCUUGGAUCUAUGUUUUCACUAUUAUACAUGCAAAUAUACAAAAUUCCAAAGCAUCAUCCUAACUAGCAUAUUAUGGAGCAACUAUACUACAAGAGUCUAGUUAGAUUACAUAUGUUUUAAUGGAGCUUAAAGUCUUGAACCUUUAAGAGGUUAGCCCCAAUAGUGUGGAAGCCUCAAAUGGAAUCACAAAAACACCACCAACAAAUGGAAUAACUUGAGAAGAAGGUUACUUUGGUUAUCCCUAUGAAAUCGGCCCUUGCCCUCACUAUGUGUAUCCACUAGUGCCAUUUCAUGAACCAUGGAAUCCUUUAUAUAGUGUGGCUCAUUAGGGUUAAACCAUGUAAACCCUAAUGUGCACGACUUUCCAUUUCCUUCAUGAUCCAUGGGUUUUAACCUCCAUGGAGUAUCCAUGGGUUACCAAAUGGGUUAAGCCUAACAUGAAGGACAAUGGAUCACAAGCCCACAUAUAUAAGAAUGAAUGAUUUACAUAAUCAAUCCCCAUAUAUUUAAUUAGUCUCUUUUGAUCACAUAAUUAAUUCCAAAUUAAUGAAUCAUCAAUACUAAUUAAAUAAUAUGAUUUCAUAUUAAUAUAUUAGAAAUUAUAAUAUAUUAAUAUAAAUCAUAAAUAGCCUUUUCUCACUUGUUUAUCCAAUUGUUCUGAUGCCAUGCAACCCAAAUGGACCAUGCUACUCUCGGGCGAAUUUUAGAAUGCAAAUAAUGUAAUCAUGACUAAAUUUGAUUAAAAUCUCACAAUCUAAGAUUUUAGAUUUGAAAUGAAGUAUAAUUUCCUCUCCCUUAAUUAUAGCAAAGCAACUUUUCCAACCCCUGCAACUUCACGAAUUGAAACUUUUGUUUUUUAUAAUUAACAUUGCUAACAUGCAACAUUUACCAUAAUAAUUAUGCUCCCACUAGCUUAAUAAUUAUUAAUUUACUAGCAUAACACUUAUGCUCCCACGAGCUUUGACAUAUACCCAAAAAUGAGUUGGACUUCUAGAAAUCAACACAUAUUGACUUUCUUACCAAAGUUCAGAUAUCUGAUACGAGAUGCUUUGAUAAGACUUUAUCAAAAAUCAUACACCUUUCCUUAGAUAGCUCACAUGUAUGUCUAAACAAUUAUGAAGAGGGAUGUCGUAAUCAUAAUGUUAAGACCUUUUUCCAUUCUCACUAGUCCAUGUUAAUGUGCCGGUUAACCACACACGCUCCACUAACAACUUUGAGAAUGCAUAUAUCACAAUAGCUAUCUACUUAAACUCUACUUAGUGAAAGCGUUUCCUCACCAUCAUUUUCAUGAAUCAGAGAGAAACCUUAUGACACUUAGACUUUAUGGUAUAUGUGUUCUUAUCCGUGUGAACUUGUCAUAACCAUGAUCACAAGACAAGGUUAGUGACAAAUCCAAACUUAUAUGGACUGAACUUGCUCAACCUUAUUUUCUUGCCACCUGGAAGCACAAGGGCCUACCAGGUCUUCCAAGUUGUUAUGAAAUCGAUAGAACUCUCAUGCAUAGUCAACUUUAAUUGGAAUGGGCAUCAAAUAAGAAUAUGUCAACACGAUAGGUUAGAAACCUCAAGUCGUGUGCUAGUGUUAAACUACACGUUUUAUUCUUGAUUAGUUCUUGAAACUCUUUCAGGAUCUUUAAGACUCCCACUGACCUCUUGACAUAUAAGUUUCUCUUUGUCAAACACCAUUACCUAACAACAAAUAUUCAAGAGUUAGUGUGGAUUCUUAUCAAUACAAACACCUCACACAAUUAGCCUUAGUUGGUCUUUGUUUUAUCCAAAACAUCACAACUUACCAAUUUCAAAUGUACAAGAGUAGAAAACAUUUCACUCUUACAUUUGACAAGUGUUAUAAAACUUCUUUAAGAUAUGUCACCCACGUUACAAUCUUGGAGUAUGACUCUAAGAAUUGUUUUGGAACGAAGUAUGACUCAUCUUCUUGAUUUAACAACUUGAACAGUUCAUAACUCCUCUUCUUAGCCAGAAGAAUGCACUAAGAUGUCCUUAGAGGAUCAAUUGUGAUAUGGUUUCAUAAUCAUUAAGAUGAUCAUAAAACAUGAUACUAAAGUACUCUCCCAUCUUUUCAGAUUUGAGAAACUUUUAUCUUUUCGCCUAAUUUGAUUCUUCUCAUUCGUUCUGCCAUACAUUGAAACUUUUCCCAUGUUUCAGAAUUAUACUUAAACUUGUAAGUAUAACGAUAUUUGCUAAUCUUUAGUAAUUCAUGAUGAAUAGUCUUAUCGAUCUUUAUGGUGGGCUUGACCAGUGCAAAAGAAUGUGUACUCGAUCCCUUAGUCCUUCACUUGACUCACAUAUACAUGUGAACAAGGAAUUAGUCUUAAUUUUCUAAAGAUGAAAAUUCUCAAUCAUCAUACAAUACAACUUGCAUGAUUCCAAGUUUUUGUCCAAUUGAAACUUGGGUGAUGAGAAUCUUUCCUUAUUUGGUAAAUUUAGACACUACCACAAAAGAAAUAAUCAAAUUCAUAUUUCCGAUAUUGCUAGAAACAUACAAACAUCAUUUUUUUUCAUAAAUGCCAUUGCAAGGAGAUAUAAAACAAAAACAAAAUCUUAUAUUUAUAAAAUGCGGAAAAACUUUUCCUUACAAUGCAAUUACAAGUGAAAAACUAUGCUAUUACAUAUUUCCUAGCAAUCUAUAAUAACUCCCAAGCAGUAGCUCAAAAAUCCGAUCUUCGAACCAUGCGAUAGAAAUCCAUCUUCGCUAUUAGAUUCAGCAUACUCUUCUUUUAAACUUCUUUCCCUUUGCUUGAUCCUACCAAACAUCAAAAUGCAACCUAGUCACAUCAUGUAUUAAGAAUCAACAAUUAGGAACUUAACAGAGUUAGAUAGUGGACUUACCUAAAGCAAAACCACUCAAUCUGAUUAAACUUCUCAGGUAGUCAGGGCAGCUUCGCUUCCAAUGUCCCUUUCCUUGGUAGCAAAAACACACAGGCUCACAUGGAACAGUCUCAGAGUUGGCGUUUCUCUUAUGAUCAAAAAUUUUGACCAUGGCCAAUUCCUUUCCUCUAGGAGAAUGAAUCUUUUCUGGGAUGUCCAUGUCAGCUUGGGAUAUUGAUCUUCCAGUCAGAUUUACUUGACCAUUGCACCAAAUCAUUGUUGAUUCAGCAGCAAUUAGCAAAUAAGUAAGAUCUAUUAGGGUCAUGUCGUGAUCCGUCACAUAGUAGUCUUUAAUGAACUCACUAUAUGACUUGGUAAGUGACAGAAGAACCCAGUCAAUAGCCAACUUCCUUGGGAAAAUGACACCCAACAUUCUCAACCAAUCAAUGUGUGCCUUCAUCUCUAAGACAUGUGCACACACUGGCCUUCCAUCUUUAUGUUUGCUUUCUAAUAGGACUUGAGUGAUCCUGAACUUUUCAAGUCUUCAAGCUUGUGGGUCAGGGAGAAUAAUUGGAGGUGGUGGAGGAAGAGAAGUAUGAUUUCCAUGAUCCAAUCACAGGACAUCAUCUUCAUUAGGGGAGCUUGUUCCAUGAGAUUUGGAAAGAUCAUAGUUGUCUGAUAUAGACAUCUACAAUGGGAUAAAUUUCAAGUUGGUUGAUUUAAGUCCUUAAUAUAAUACCGAAUAUGAAAUAUUAAGGCUAGGACCCAACACAAUAUUUUAUAACAUGGAAGAUUUAUGUCGUAAUCCAAGCUAUAAAAUAUUUGAAGGUAGAAGACUGACGAUUCACCAAUUUCCACCAUGAAAAACGAAAUAGAUAUUCGGUUUUAAUUGGACUGAAACUCCUAGAUCUUUUGAGAUCAUUGAACUUUUCAAUGGCAUGUUUAAAUCUCGGUUGUGCCCUCUCAAGUUUGUGACCGGGAUGCCGAGGAUCACAAACAAGGUGUGAAUAACCAUGCAAAUUAACUUGAUACCAUUAACUUUAUCACCUAAUCGAUGUUCCAGUUAACCACACGCGCUUCACCAAUCUAUGAUAAAUAUUAAGUUACCCUUUGCCACUCUUACUAUUCCAUGUUAGUGUACCGGUUAACCACACACGCUCCACCAACGACUUGGUAAGUUACAAAGUUUAAUUUCAUGGGUUAGCACCAUAUUCACAUCUUCCUAAAGUAACUAAGAUUGGGAAUUUAUAAGUGUUUAGUUACUUUAUAUUUAUCAUUAUACUUUUAAUGAAGGGAGAAUUAGAGUCCUAUCCUACCCGUUCAGCUAACGACCCUCCACCAGUCAAGGAAGCGGUGGGUGAGAGUGGACACCCAUUAAACUGUCAUUUUAUAGGCAGUAACCUUAUACCCCCUUAUAGACCGGCUUUGUGAAUGAGGCCUAAUAACGGUAAGAUUGACUUUUAAUCUUAUAUAUAUAUAUAUAUAUAUAUAUAUNAUAUAUAUAUAUAUAUAUAUAUUAAACCUAUAAUACUAUAAUAGUAUAAGGGUUGAACUCUAAACUAUUUAAAAUUCUAGGGUUUGAACUAAAGUAUUCAAAAGUGUAACUUUACAAAUUCCAAAACUUGAGGGCAAGUUUUGAACAAUUCAAAAAAAACUUUUGGAAUCUAUAACAUAUGAGUUUAAUAUGGCUUUUAUUGGAAAGACUCUUGAAAAUCCAUAACUUGAGGACAAGUUGUGGAUGUCAUAAAAUAAUUGAUGGGAAAAAACUCUUCAAAACGAUAACUCAUGACUUUUAAAAUACUCAUUAACAAGAAAGACUUUUGGUUUUCCAUAACUUGAGGACAAGUUAUGGAAUCCAUUAAAGUCCAUUUAGAUCAUCUAAUAAACAAACAAACAUGUCAAGAAAAAACUAUGAUCUAGAUUAAACUCAUAUGAACAAGACAAUUCAAAUCAAACAAUCUUCAUGCAAUUAGCCUAACCAUUAAACUAAUAUGAAACAUGAAACUUUUCACUAUUAUCUUUUGAGUUGGAUUAGAAUGAUCAUUACCACAUCAAAAACAUGUUUAUAAAUUAAAAAAUAGCAUAGGGUAAUGAUUCUAGUCCAAUUCCAGCCUUAAAAGUCGAAAAUCUGUGCUCUGGGCCUACUACUCGUCGAGUGUAUGAACAAACUCGGCGAGUUGGUCAGAUUUUGUCUUACACUCGGCGAGUCCACCAGUAGACUCGGCGAGUCCACUGAUCAGAAAGCCAUUUUUUUGAUUUUUUUCAGCAAUUGCAUUAAGUAUAAUUGAAACCCAAGCCUAGGCUCUGAUACCACUGAUGGGUUUUGAGCAUCCUAUCACUCUUAUAGUGUGCAUGCAAUCCUAUGUGCCUUGGAUCUAUGUUUUCACUAUUAUACAUGCAAAUAUACAAAAUUCCAAAGCAUCAUCCUAACUAGCAUAUUAUGGAGCAACUAUACUACAAAAGUUUAGUUAGAUGACAUACCUUUUGAUGAAGCUUGAAUUCUUGAACCUUUAAGAGCUAAGCCCCAAUAGUGUGGAAGCCUCAAAUGGAAUCACAAAAACACCACCAACAAAUGGAAUAACUUGAGAAGAAGGUUACUUUGGUUCCCCCUAUGAAAUCGGCCCUUUCCCUCACUAUGUGUAUCCACUAGUGCCAUUUCAUGAACCAUGGAAUCCUUUAUAUAGUGUGGCUCAUUAGGGUUAAGCCAUGUAAACCCUAAUGUGCAUGACUUUCCAUUUCCUUCAUGAUCCAUGGGUUUUAACCUCCAUGGAGUAUCCAUGGGUUACCACAUGGGUUAAGCCCAACAUGAAGGACAAUGGAUCACAAGCCCACAUAUAUAAGAAUGAAUGAUUUACAUAAUCAAUCCCCAUAUAUUUAAUCAGUCUCUUGUGAUUACAAAAUUAAUUCCAAUUUAAUUCUUAAUCAAUACUAAUUAAAUAAUAUGAUUUCAUAUUAAUAUAUUAGAACUUAUAAUAUAUUAAUAUAAAUCAUAAAUAAGCUUUUCUCACUUGUCUAUCCAAUUGUUCUGAUGCCAUGCAACCUAAAUGGACCAUGCUACUCUCGGGUCGAGUACAUACCAAUAAUAGUUAUGGGCUUAGACAUCUAAUCCAACAGAAGUAACUUCCAAGCCUUCGCAGCUAAACAGAGAAUUGGCCCAUGCGAAGUUCUCUCACCAGGAAUAACCAUUUCUCCCCACUUGGGGUUCGAGCUCUCACCAACUUCCGCUCAUAAUCAAUCAUGGAUCCAUUAGGCCCUAACCACUCCAUCCUGAUAACCACCUUCAAUCCCCUCAAGGGAAUCGGUACCAAUUCGAUCGGAAACCUAUCACUGAACAUGUUCAGAACACAUCCUUAGAACACCCUUGCAGUGCUCGUAGUACAAUCAUCUACAUUCUCCACCUCCAGAGGGGAAUCCAAAGUCCCCGGAGUGUCUUGAAACUUCAUGAUGAACGCAAGAGAUACAAAGGAUAGGGUAGCCCCCAAAUCAAGUAGAACAUGAGCCGACAACCCAUUGACCAAAAAGGUCCCCAUACAAGAUUAUAACAAACAUAAACCAAAUAUGAAAAAAAUAAAGACAGAGAUAGAUCGGAUACCACUAACGACGUCCAGCGCUUCUUGGGCCUCAUCAGUAGUCAACUGAAACGCUCUGCUCUUCACUGCAGGAGCCUCCGCCUUGCCUUGGCGGCCAUCGGUAAUCCUCAAGGUGGCUGGCGCAGGCGCCACCACUGCUGCACCAGACAACCUCAAACAAUCGGCCUUUUAUGGCUGGUCUGGUUGUAGUGAAAACAAAUCAAACCCUUCAUGGGGCACUCCCUGCUCAUGUAUCCCAAUUGCCCAUAACCGUAACAUACCGAGCUUACUACCCGACAUGCCCCACUAUGUGGCUUACCAUACUUGGCAUAACGGCCCCGGCCCUACUGGAAUCUGCUAGAAAUAUUAGAGGUAUUGAGCUUCUUAGCCUACACUAAUGUUGUCUGAACCUGCUCCGGCUUCCGCUUUGCCUAGAGCUCUAACUUGAUUUCCAACUUACGGGCCUUCUCAAUCAUGUCAUUCAGGGUCUUGCACCCUGAAAAGCUCACGAACUCCAAGAUAUCAUCCCUCAGCAUAGGAUGAUACCUCAUAUUGCUCAUCUCCUCAUUUGCAGCAUACUCCGGGAUUAGCAAUCCCCUCUCCCUGAACUUGGUGGUAAUCUCUGCGACAAACUCCGUAGUCUGGUGAGGUCCUGGAACUCCCUCACCAACUGCUGCACCUCAAUGGGUGGUGCAAAAUCCCGAGAAAAUCUCUGCACAAAAUCUUCCCAUGCCAUCACUUUCACACCCGUCGUCCCUACCUCAUGGGUAACCUCCUCCCACCAGUCCCGCGCCCGAUUCCUCAGCAUACAGGACGUGAAUCCCACAUUUGCCACCUUGGGGAAAAAGCUUGUACGCUGAGAAUUCUCCAUGUCAGUGAUCCAGUUGCAACUAGUGAUGGGUUCCUUAGUCCCAAAGAACUCAGGUGCUCCGCAAGCCUUGAAAUCUUGAAAGGAAGGAAUCUGAGUCCCAAUCUGGUCUGCAGCGAUCACAGCUCGAAAGGAUCUGAGUCGAUCCUCCAUGAUCUCCAUAAUCCCCUCCUUUAUGGUAUCGAUAAUCACCAGGGUAGUGUCAAGGAUGUCGUGUGUAACCUCAGUUGCUAUAAGCUCGCACAACCUCUCCUCAAUCAGUUCCGCACUGAAACCCGGACCUAAUACCGAACCCGAUCCUGAACCAAAACCUAUGCGUGUAGCCAUCACCAUCCUAAAACUGAAAAUACAACCUGACAACAAUCGAUAAGGAAGUUCGAAGGCAUUUCUCCUCAUCAGAUUUCUUAGGGUCCCAGGUCUGCUCUUGUCUCGGGUACAAGUCCUGUGCUUCCAGUAGUACGGGCCCAAUACUACCUUCCACACCUACCUGUACCUUCCUCAAGGUCAUACCUGAUACCUCGAAUUUACCCAAUCAAUAAUUGGAUACAUAGAUGAUAUAACAUAGCACAUAUAUAUAUCCUAGACUCUUCUAGGAUUUCUCUAUCCUCGUCUAACUAGAAACCUCAAACAACACCGCAUGUUGCCUUAUGCUUGCAAGUUAUACAUAAAUAGAAUCACAUAGACUGUCAAAUGAAGUUUCUACCCUAAGUCCACAACUAAACAAGGAACAUGAAAGGAGGCAAAAUCCAUCAUUCUAGGGCUAUGAAAUCCUAAGCAUAUAUAACUUUGAAAGCAUACACUUAGCAAAUAACAAAGUCAACAUUGAUUCCAAGAAAUAUAUAGCAUCGGAUUUUCCUAGGCUAAAAGGCAUCACACAAAUUAGGCAAUUUUAUCACAUAACUCUUGAAGGUAUCCUUAUCCCUACUCUACCAUGCAUUUCACAAAUUAACAUACUAGUUUCUAUUUAUAAACAUGGUUUAAUUUUAGGAAACACUUACUUGAGCUCGACCGAUCGCAUGCAUUGCACUCUCCCUUUUUUACUUAAGCAAACUGUUUUCAAAAAAACUUCACUUUUGUUAUUUUGAAAAGGUUACCAUUUCCUCAAUUUGAGUUCUGGCACACCCAAGAGUGUGCCCGAAUCCCUCAAACUAAGGCUCUGAUACUAACUUGUAACAACCUAAAAACUAGAUAAUAAUUUUCAAUUUUAAAAAUUGGAAUUACAAUCAUAAUUUGUUUCCAAAAAUCCAUUACAUCAUAUCAUGUCAAAAUAUUAGAGUAUCAAUAUCAAUAAAUAUGGAAAAUGAUGGAGAGUAAAUGUUGCACCAUCAAGUCGGACUCUUCCCUUUAGUACCGUAAGUACCUAAAAAGACCCAAAUUUACUGUAAGCAAAAGCUUAGUGAGUCCCAACACAUAACAUACAACCACAGAAUACCAUGCAACAUAUAAAUAGUUGCCAUAGGCUAACCCCAUGGUCUUUAUCUAGUAUGUCAUGGUUUACCCCCAUGAUCUGAUAUCUAAGUGCCAUGGGCUACCCCAAUGGUCUUUACCUAGAAGACCAAGGGCAACCCCCAUGGUCUGAUAUCCAAGUAUCAUGGGCUACCCCCAUGGUCUUCAUACAAGUGCUACAGGCUACCCCGGGCUCUUCAUACAACUAAAUACAUAACAACUGUCAAUCCACAUGUCAGAUAAUGGGCCGACAUUGGUGCCUUCGACCCAUUAAUAUAAUGAGGAGACUCACCUUAGUCUGCUAACAAAUAAUAACUGCUCGGCUACCAAUCUAGAAAUGUCACACUAUAAUAUAUACAAAUUACCCUAAUUAGAAUUAUGACACAAACUUAAUCAUCGGCCCAGAAUCCCUAAGUCCAAGCUCCUCAAAUAAACCCCAAAAGCAUUUUCCCUUUAAUGGGCCUAACCAUAUUCUGCCCAUUUAUAAUAACAGCCCUAAGGCCCAAAAAGCCCAACCCAUGACACAUAAAGCUAACAACAAAAAUUGGGCCCACCUAUCCUGACCAGGCCAAGGCCCAAUACAAUAUUCUGGAAGCCCACAAAACAGCCCUAAACUCCUAGGGUCAAAAAAUGAAGCCGACCAUAGAAGGCCCAAACACCGCAGCCCAUUUUUGAGUACGCGCGGCGUACUCAGUUUGUACAUUAAGCUUACACGCUUGAGGGCCUAUACACUGUAAGUACAAGCUAGUAUGCCCAACGUACUCCUCGGUUUUGCCAACUUUGCAUCUUAGCUCUUAAAUGGUUAAUACAUUAGCCUCAAGACUCCGAUCUGAUCUCCUUGAAGUGAUUAAUCAUGUAAACUUUCCAACUUUAUGUGCAUACAUGCCUUAACUAAACCUUAGAGCUCAAAAGAACUUAAUAAUUGACUUAAUACUUGCAUGGAGGUCACAAAAACCAUAAAUUUUUCACCUUUAAGCUGAAAGAGUCCACUAAACAUCUAGAUAUACAAGUUUUUCCAUCUCAAAUGGUCUCAACUCUUCAAGACCCACCAAAAGGACCAAAACAAUCUAAAGAAGACAUCUAAACAUUAGAUAAGAAAGGUAUGAACUUUAUACCUCCAGAAGCUCCCUAAGAUGACAUAGAUGUUGGAUCUAGAAGCUCAACCACGUUCUAGGCUUGCACCACAAGAUCUUCUUCUUGCAAGCACACCAAAAUUUGGCUCCUUUUUUAUUACUUCAAGCUCAAAAUCACCUCUAAUGGCUAUUUAGGAUUUUUAGGGACGUUUAAAGGUAAGGAGGCUGAUAAAGAUGGAUACCCAAAGGCCACAAAUGGAUUAGAUCUAAUAUAUAUGAGUUUUGGUCCCUUUUUGGCCCUAUGAAUGAGAACUAGUGGUUUGAUACCACUCCAGGAGCUUUGAGUUGCCACUCUUUGUGUUUCUGAGGUUCAAAGUCCAUAAAGUUGGCACCAUUAGGGUUUAGAAUCACCCAUGCAUGAUAUUGUGUCUAUUUAGUGAAACUAGAUUGUUAUAUCUUGAAGUUGGGUCCUUUAGGGCAUGUAAAUUCAUCAAGUCAGUGACUUUAUGGUUCUAGACACUUAUUAGGAUUCAAAUUUGUGGUUUGGACUUUUGGAAUUUAGAAUUAAGCGCUUAAGGAGGAUUUUUGCAUAAUGGGUGAGUACGCUAAGCAUACAAACCUAUACGCAUGGCAUACAUGACAUAUAGUGUGUAUGCUUAGUGUACAGCUGAGUACGCCUCGCGUACUCAGUCAAAUGGGUUUUUGCAUUCAAGGCUUCGAGUUUGGGCUUUCUUUUGGAAUUGGGUGUUUAAGUUCUUAUUGAGCUAUCUGAAUGUAAGUGUUUUUGACUAGGAAAAAAUGUUGGGAUUUAAGGUAAGGCCCAUGUAGGGGUUUGGGUAAGGCUCGAUGUCGGGCAGGGGCUCGAUGUAUUAUGUGCUGCUAUUUAUAUCGGGCGGGUCUUGAGGUCGGGUGAGGCCCGAUGACUACAUGUAUGCAAUUGUUUUAUGAUCAUUGUAUGUGUUAGCAUGAUUAUGUGAUAUAUUGUAUGUGCACGGUAGGCAGAGCUCGAUCUCAGGCGGGGCCUAAGAAUAAUAUAUCUAUAUAUCGAGCGAGGCUCAAUGUCGGGCGGUCCCCGAUGGAUGGCAGAGCCCGAUGUAGGGUGGGGGCCUAGUAUGAGAUUUAUUAUGUAUAGUAUAGGGUAGCUUAGGGAAUUCACUAAGAUUUAUGCUUAUGGUUUUCAAUUUAUAUUUCAUGUACUUCUGGUUCCAAGGGGAAGAGCUCGGGAUGACUGUAUCGCACACACCACAUAGUUAUGCGUUUGUGAUUUACUUUGAUUGAUAUGAAGUUGAUACACUUAGUUUCACUUGGAUCGUCAGUAUGAUGUUUUUGGAAUAUUGUUUUAUUAAAAUUAAAGAUGAAAAUUUUAGGUCAUAUUUUUGAGAUGUUACAAGUUGGUAUCAGAGCCUUGGUUUGAGGGAUUUGGGCACACUCUCAGGUGUGUCUGAACUCAAACUGAGGGUUUCGUAGAAUUUUCAAAAAGAGAAUCUUUUAUAAAAAAAGGGUUUUAAUAAAAGAAAAAGGGCGUGGUGCAUGAAAUCGACCGAGCUGAAGUAAGUUUUCCCAAAUUACCCAUACAUGUUAUCUAAUAUGAUAUGAUCUGUGAAUCUGUGGAUCGCAUGCUAUUUAAGGCUAAGGAUUUGCUCAGUUUUGCAUGAUAGAAUGUUAGGAGAGAUGCCUUUGUAUGCCUACUCUAUAAGCUUGUAGACUUGCAUGCUAGUACUGAUUAGUUAGUGAUAGGAUAUUAUGAUUAGGUGAUGCUUGAUUCUGGUUACUUGAUGCUCGAAUGAUGCUUACUUUGUGCUUUUAGGAGUUCUUCCCAACUUCAUCUAAAUAGUGAGCGAAUAUUCUAAGUUACAUAUUAUGGGAACUAAAUAAUUUUAGAAGGUUAGGUUUUAACUCUAUUGUGUUGCUCCUGUCCGAGUCCAACCGUAGUAGUGUGAGACCUUUCAUUCGAAGAAUUAUCUAGUUUUAGUGAUAUAUAGUUGUAUUCGUGAGCUAGUUAGAGGGAGUUAGCAGGAUUUUCUUUCUACAGUUGAUGGUGGAGAGUGAUGUGGAGUUUGCCCUAGGAAAACCUAGGAUGAGAUCUAGUGCAGGGAGCCUUAUCUAUGAGGGAAAGUUGUAUGGAUAUCAAGUAACUUGGUUAAGUCAAGGAAAUUCUUGAGGAAAGUGCGGAUAGAUGUGGAAGGUAGUAUGGGCUUGUUCUACUGGAAGCAGAUCAUCCGUACUCGAGUUAAGGAGAGUUGCAAUGAAACCAGGGAGCUUGUGGAGUUUGUGUUUCCUCGAUAUAUAUAUAUAUAUAUAUAUAUAUAUAUAUAUAUUCAUAUAUGANNNNNNNNNNNNNNNNNNUAUAUAUAUAUAUAUAUGCGUAUUCUGAUGGUUUAUAUGGUCUAUUUUCAGUAUGGUGACAUUGCAAGGCAGACCAGCUGGCAAUUCUGGUGCUGGAGAGGGCUUAGGAUCGAGUUUUGGAAUCGGGCAGCUAGAUGAGCAGACGAGGGAGUUCAUCUCAUUUGAGAUUGUAUGCAGUAUUCUUGAGCAGACUCCUGUGAUCUUUGGCACGGUCAAGGAGGGCAUUUUGGAGAUUCUGGAUGAGCGGUUGAGCGCCUUUUGCUCUGAGAUGGCAGCCUUGGUUGGGGCACGUUCAUUGAAUUUCAGGGAGUUCCGAUGAUGUAGGGCUCCGUAAUAUCAUGGGGUGAAGGAACCCAUAACAAGCAGGUUGUGGUUAGCAGAUGUUGCUAAUGACUUCCGCACUAGCCGUUGCCUCAAGGGGGACAAGGCUAGACUAGCUUCCUACCUUUUGAAGGACAGGGCACGAGACUGGUGCGAGGAGGUAGGAUGUGCAGUGGGUGAUGAUGAUUAUGAUGUGAUGUCAUGGAAUGAUUUCUCGACCAGGUUCCGAGUUGAGUUUGCACCAGUGAUUGAGGUGCAACAGUCGGCAUGAGAGUUUCAAGAUCUUCGCCAGUGUACGAAAACAGAGGCUGAUAUCCCCGCGGUGUUUAGGGAGAGGGCGCUUCUGGUUCCACAGUAUGUGGUAGAUAAGGAGAUUAAUAAGGCCCGAUAUCAUGAGAUGUUGAGGAGUGACAUUCGAUAGUUUAUGAGUCGAUCCAGCUACAAGACGUUGGAGGAUAUGAUAGCACGAGCUGGGGAGAGGGAGAUUGAUCUGGAGAUGGAGAAGAAGAGGAAGCCAGAUUUUGUGUCGAAUGUUGAAGGUUCGGGCAAGAGGCCCAAGGUAUCUGAAUCUAGAUCGAGAGGCCAUCAAGGCCAAAGUUGCUGCAGGAAGUGCGGCAGGACACACGAGGGACCGUGCAAGGUUGGUGGAUAUGGCUACUUCAAGUGCGGCCAGACGGGUCAUUAUAGUAGGGAUUGUACUCCUACCACCACCCAGAGAUUUAAUCCUAUUUUCAUUCAUUGCAAUCAGGGGGGCCACAAGAAGGCCCAUUGUCCGAGUUUGGCUGCAGCAGGAUCGGUGUCAGCACCCGCUCCUACAACUCUUCGGAUUUUUGACGGUUGCCAGGGCUGGGCAGGCGCACCUAUGGUAAAGAGCGGGGCUUUCCAAUUGAUGGCCGAGGAGGCGCGUGCAGCUCCUGACGUGAUGACGGGUAUGUAUCUUCUCCUUAUCUCUUUAUUUAUAUUGUAUUGGUUGCUUAUGUUUAUGUGUUUUCUUUUAGGAUUGUUCAUUGUGAACAAUAUGUCUGCAUUGGUAUUGUUUAAUUCGAGGGCUACCCGAUCCUUUGUAUCGCUUGCACCUAGCAAGCAAUUUUUUGGACUCCGGGGGAGCAGGAUUGUCCUCUUGAUGUUGAGAUUGCUGAUGAUAGGUAUGUUCGGGUUGCGAGAGUUCAUCGGGGUUGUACUUUUCAAUUGUUCAGUGAGUAGUAUUUGGUGGAUUUGCUUCUCAUUCGAUUGUGUGGGAACAAGGUUAUCAUGGGUAUGGAUUGAUUGAGCCUUAUUGGGACAGUGAUCGAAUGUGAGCAGCAGUUGGUUCGGAUUCGGACUCCGAGUAGGGAAGGGUUAGUGGUUCAUGGGGAGAGAUCUCAUCGUGGUCCGGUUUUGUGUUCAGCGGCAAGGGUUAGGUGCUAUGUUCGUAGGGUUGUUCCGAUUAUGUUGCCUAUGUCAUGGAUACCCAAGAUAAGGGUAAGGCGACCGUGGAUGAUGUGUCCAUUGUGCGGUAUUACCCGGAUGUGUUUUCGGAGGAUUUUCCUAUGGUUCCUCAAAGGAGGCAAGUGGAGUUUAGGAUUGAUUUGGUUCCAGGUGCGGCUCCGAUAGCCAAAACACUGUAUCGGUUGGCUCCUCCCGAGAUGCAGGAGUUGUCUACACAGUUGCAGGAGCUGUUAGACAACUGAUUUAUUCGACCGAGCAGUUCGCCUUGGGGAGCACCGAUCUUUUUCGUGAAGAAGAAGGAUGGGUCUCAUCGUAUGUGUAUCAACUACCAGGAGCUGAAUAAGGUAACGGUGAAGGAUCAUUAUCCACUCUCGAGGGCUGAUGGUCUUUUUGACCAGCUUCAGGGUGCAUCUUGGUUCUCCAAGAUUGAUUUGCGAUUGGGUUGUCAUUACGAGUUCGUGGUGAUGCCUUUUGGGCUCACCAAUGCUCCAGCUACGUUCAUGGAUCUCAUAAAUUAUGUGUGCAGACGGAUGCUGGAUCGGUCUAUCAUUGUAUUCGUCGAUUAUAUCUUGGUUUAUUCCAAGACUCAAGAGUAGCACGAGGAGCACUUGAGGGAAGUGCUGAAGAUAUUGAGGAGGAAUAAACUUUUCGUAAAGUUCUCCAAGUGUGAGUUCUAGUUGUGCAAGGUGCAGUUUCUGGGGCACCUUGUCAGCCAGAAGGUUAUUCUGGUCGAUCCGGCCAAGUUUGAAGUCGUGAUGCAGUGGGAGGUUCCGAGGUCUCCAUCUAAGAUUCAGAGCUUUCUUGGUUUGGCUGGUUAUUAUCGGAGAUUAAUCCAGGAUUUCUCCAAGAUAGUUUUUCCUUUGACCCGACUGACCAAGAAAACGGUUUCAUUUCAUUGGGUGCUUGAGCAGAAGGAAGCUUUCGAUACUUUGAGAAAUCGGUUGUGUGAGGCGUCGACUCUGAACCUGCCAGAGGGUGCUGAUCAUUUCAUGGUUUAUUGUGAUGUUUCGAUUUCAGGAUUAGGGGCUUAUGUGACCUCGAACUCCGCCUUGAUAGUACUCCGGGAAGAAUGACUUCGGUGAUCCUGUGUGGUCACAACCACAAGAAGAAGCCAUCAUCCAUUUCCCGGGAGGAUCUCCCGGAAUGACGCUUUGAAGGUCAAGUUAGUAGGUUAUUUCUAAGGUUUAGUGAUUGUAGCUAGAGAAAGAUCACUUACUUGUCAAGGCCCUGAGGAUACCUUUUAUACCUUGCGCUCCUGAUCGUCUGUAUGGGACAAGGAUGUCAGAGCCGAUAGGGUCAGGAGCCCUGAUUGGAGGAUCGUGCUCUUCUUUCAAUCAUAGCGUAGCCAUUGGCUCUGGUGGUAGUGCCCUGAGCAUUUUCUUUGUCGCCUGACCAUUGUAUUUGUCCUAGAGUGGAAGGCGCCCCAAGAGUGGGAGAGCCUUUCUUCGGGAGCGCCCUGCUCUCAAGGGCGUUGGCGGGAACUAAGCUCUAUUGGGUUUAGCAUGUCGGGUGCGUCAUGAUUUUAGACGCUCUACUAUGACUAGACACAAAUCUUCCGUGCUCGCUAAGGCACCUCAUCAAGAACCCUAGUCCAGUAGUCUUAGUAUUGUUAUGCUAGCUAUGACAUUCUGGACUUAAUUGCUCUGCAUACGCGUCCGUUUGUAAUUUGCCCAUCGUUUCGAUUUUUGUGGUGACGUGACCACCCAUUAUGGCUGUUAGUUACGUCAUUGUGUCAGGGAUUUUGAACAUACUGCCUUUCCUUCUUUAUAUAAGUAGUGUUUCCUUUUCACGCUACCUUUCUUCUCUUCCUUUUCAUCUCUAGGGUUCUUUGGUCCUCUCUUUCCAUGAUUGGUCAACCUAGUGCAACCCCAUCUAAGGCUGAUCUAAAACUUAUUGGAGAUGAUCUUUCACUGGCAGAUGGUGUCGAGUUCCCCUCACCCGAUUCCAUGAUUCUGUCUCCCCCACCAGGUAAAGUGGGGGUUUAUUUGAAGACUUUUGACACUAGGUUUCAUCUUCCCCUCUUGGACAUUCAAGAGGAAAUUCUGCAAAAGGUCGGGUGCAGUGUUCAAAUGCUUACUCCUAAUGUCAUAAACAAGGUGGUGGCAUUUGAAAUGAUAUGUCGUGCUAAUGGCUUGCUUUCAGACUAUUUCGUCUUCAAGUGCUUUUUCAGAUUAUGCGCCACCGACAAUAAGGACACCUUCUCUGUUCGUCAGGGAGGGCAUACUUUGGUCCCUGAUGGGAAAACACCCAAGAAUUUGCAAGAUAAAUGGUUGCGGGUCAACCAAAGUUUGGUGGGUACUGGCCGGUACCAGGCGAAUACCCUUGCCGACGUUACCCCUAAGUUGUUUCCUCAUAACCAGGUUCUUCUGAAGGGUAUCCAAGUCGCUCUUAAAGAGUAUUCUUAGGCGUUGCUCGCCGGCGUGGGUAUGAGUCGCUCCAGGAGACGACGUGCUAAAAUACCCAUCUUUUUUACCAUUGUUGGUUGUAAAUACUUCUGCUAUUCGUUUUCCUUUUCCCUCUUCUCCUCUUCCACCUUCUUUUCUUUAUGUUUUUUAUGAAGAGAGGAGUAAAAGUAAGCUAGUCCUGUAUUUGGUUAUUCACUUUUCUGAUCCACUGGUGCUUGUGCAGGCGUUGAAUCUUCGUUGUCCAUGGACGAGGUGUUGUGGAAACGUCAUCGGGGAAAGCUGGAGCAUUAAGAGACUGAUUUGGUUGACUGUCUCCCCCCCCAACUCGUCGUUCUGACCGGCUUGAUUUAACUAUGGUUACUCCUACUCCACUCGUGGCGAACGGAUCGUCGGUGUCGGCUGGCGAGCCUCCUUUGGCUGCCCGUCCAAUCUCGACCAUUGAUCCUCCUUUUGGUGCCUUCCCCGGCCCUUAGGAGGUGGUCGAGGAUAGCAGGGAUGACAUUAUUUCAGAUGCCCAUCAGGUGUUUGCCAAGUGGAAGUCCAUCUUGGCUAUGGGGGAGGUUUCUACUGGUGCGCUUAAAAUUGGCAAGCGAGUUCAGUCGAGGCGCAAUUUUACUCACCUACUGAACUCGAUAUCUUCGACAUCAGAAGUGAUUGUGGUGAUUCCCGAUGAUGACGUUGAACAGUAUGAGGGGAGUCAAGGGGCGACUAAGCAUUCAGAAUUUCCUAUUCAACCUGUUUUCCAAUCUACUCCCGGUUUCUCUCCCCCCGAGGGCUCCGGGGAAGGUCGAGUAGCGCCAGGUUCCUCCCCUUGAGGGUGCCUCUGGAGGUAACCCUGGCUCUCGCAUGUUUGUACCUGGUUGGAAUCUUGACAAUGAUUAUCACUUGUUAGUUUGUGCUAACGCGGUGAAGUUUUCCCGCCACGCGUUUCCGCUCGCCGCUGUUUUCGAUAAGUUAUGGGUAGCCCUGUCUUGUCUCACAACAUGUCUUAUGAUGCUGCACAAGCCACAUUUUAUCUUUUUGUAGGUGCCCGUCAUAUUCAGUUACUUAAUGAGAUAAAGGUUGCUCAUUCGGGCUGCAGCGCCCAAGAGGGCAACUUAAGGAGUCAGGUUUGUGAGCUUGAGAAUGACGUCCGGGCUCUGGAGCAAAGGUGUAUGCUACUUGCUUAUGAGAAAACUGUUGUAGAGGAAAUCUGAUAUGGUUUGGAGGUUAAGGUGGACUCCCUAGCCCUGUUGAAUGAGGGGCUUAUGAUUUGAAACGAAAGUCUUGAGCGCGAUGUUGUUGAUCGCGAUAAGCUGGUCAAGAAUGUUCAGGCGGAUGCUGAGAUCGUGCAACAUGAUCAGGACUGGUUGUUGUGUGUGGGAGUUGCUCAGAUUAUGGAUAAAAUGAUAGAGCAUCCUGAGUUUACUGGUAUUGUGAGCCUGAUCAGGCAUGCAACCUUUGUUGCCAGGGAGGAGUUCGGCCACAACAAUUUGAGGACUGAUCUUGAUUCUGGCUCUCAUGAUCCCAAUGUGAGUUUCCCCCGAUCGAUCCGUACUCUGAGUGUGAACGAUGCCCUCCUUGAUUUCGCGACCAUGGAUCAUGCAUCCCUUUUUAGGGUUGGGAAACUUGGAUAUGCAAGUCAUGCAACAACUUUGUGACUUCGAGGGUGCUAAGGAGGUAUCUGAAGGCAUGUUGAUUGAUAGCGGUGGUGGCGAGGGCAGUAGCGGUGGUGUUGGGGAUAAUGUUGGUGAUAGCAGUGGUGAUGGUGAUGUCAGUGCUUGUAAAGGUGGUGGUGAUGGUGGCGGAUGCGGUGGUGGUGAUGAUGGGGUUAAAGUUGAUGGUGAUUCAGUGUUAGGGGUGACGUUGGUGGUGUUACCCAUGUUGUUUCUUGAGGUACUUUUGUACCAUGUGCUGCCCCUUUAGGGUGUGAAAAGAAAACUUUGAAGCUCUGUAAUUUGUUGCUUUAUCGUCAAAUAGUUUUUGUUAGUGAUGGCCACUUAUGCCUUGCCCUUGUAAUGAACUUUAUUUUGGAAAUAUGAAUGGUUUCUUAUGUUUUUUUCUAUCUGCUUUGUUUUUUUGAUUUUAUGGAUAUUCCAAACAUGCUAUUUUGAUCGCAGCACUGAGCCGCGUGGGCGCCCCCGAUGUUUUUAUACUAUAUAAGUACAUUGAGUACUUGUUAUUGUGGCUUGUUUUGAGCCUCAGAAAUACACUGAGUAUUUGGAACUAAUACACUUAGUAUUAUAAAUAGAGAAUUUGUUUCGAUACGUUGAGUAUCUGAAUUUAAUACGCUAAGUAUUGUAAAUAGAAAUUUUGUUUUAAUACACUAAGUAUUUUCAAGCAAGGGAAAGGGGAUACUCGACCAUGUGAUACCUUCGUCGUGGCCUAGGACAUCCAGCGUAGCGUUUGUAAAUCUGGUGAAAUAUUCUCUUAUAGUUUCCCCCUCCUUCUACUUACAACCGAUGAUGGAAUGCGAGUCUCCUUUGUAUUUCCUCAAAUGCAUAAAAUUUUCAAGGAAAAUAUACUUUAAUUGCCUAACGUUUUAUUUGCUUUCUGGCUGGAGCGUUUUGAACCAUGUUCCAACGUUACCAUCUAGAGUCACCGGGAAGUAUGUGCACCAGAAUCAUUCGUCUAACUUGAGUGACGUCAUCGUCCACUUGUACGUGUCGAUGUGGUUGUCAGGGUCUUUGGAUCCAUUGUAGUUCUUUAAGUGUGGGAGUUUAACUGUGUUUGGGAUUUCAUAGUCUAACAGCUCUCUAGCGAACAAGGACGUCACACUACACGAUAAGCAGUAUUGGUUUUGAAUGGGUAGUUCACCUUGCAUAUUGUAUUGGUGGGCCAUGACAUGUGGGUGCAUGAUUGUGUUAUUAUAAGGUGUCUAAUGACUAGUGUUUAGACCAUAGAACGCUUAUUGUGAGAACAGUAACGUUAGUGAUUGGUUGGGUGGCAUGGGUGGGUUUUGUGUAUGGAGGUUACUGGGCAUAAGCUGCUGGUACCGGUUGAUUGUAAAAGGAAAAGGUGUGCUCGCUGGGAAUGGAUAUGUCAAAAAGGCUGGUGUAUGGUUUACCAUCACCUGGGCCAAUGGUGGCACUGAGAAAGUUGCUUGCAUUUCUCCUGGCGUCUGGGCUAUUGACGGCGAGAAGAGUGUUGGUUGCGUGCUGAUUGUCUGGUUUGGCGGUGGUGUUACUUGGAACGUCACCAACUGUGCUCUUGCCAUCGGGUUCAAUAGUGAUGUUGUAUGAGACACAAGCGACUUUUCCAUUGUCAUUUGGCUCAUCGAUGGUAUUUGAAGAGUUAUCGGUUGCAACGCUGACAUCUGGGUCAUUGUCGGCUGUUGAGGUGGGGCCGUUGACUGUGUCAUAGUUGUUGGCACUGCUGGUGGUUAAAUUAUCUGUGUCGGGGUGAUCGUUGUCAAUACUUGUUGGCGUUCCAUUAGUUCCUCCAGUGUCGUCGGAUGCCAAUUUCUUCUUGUGAAUGGUGUGAUUUUAGUUUGUUUUUUGUCACACAACGGAUGAUGCCAAAUGAUGUGACCUCAAACUCCGCCUUGAUCGUACUCUGCGAAGAAUGACUCCGAUGAUCUUGCGUGGUCACAACAACAACAAGAAGUUGUCAGCCGUUUCCUAGGAGGAGCUCCUGAAAAGACGCUCUGACGGUCAAGUCAAUAGGGUAUUACUAGGGUUUAGUGAGUGUAACUGGAGAAAGAUCACUUACUUGUCAAGGCCCUAAGGAUAGCCUUUUAUACUCGGCACUCCUGAUCGUCCGUACGGGACAAGGAUGUCAGAGUCGACAUGAUCAGGAGCAUUGAUUGGAGGAUCGUGCUCUUCUCUCUGUCAGACCGUAGCCAUUGGCUCUGGUGGUAAUGCCCUGAGCAUUUUCUUUGUCGCCUAACCGUUGUAUUUGUCCCGGAGCGGAAGGCACCCCAAGUAGGGGUGAGCCUUUCUUCGGGAGCGCCCUGCUCUCAAGGGAGUUGGCGGGCGCUAAGCUCUGCUGGGUUUGGCCUGUCAAGCGCGUCAUGCUUUUAGGCGCUCUGCUAUGAACGGGCGCGACUCUUCUGUGCUCGCUAGGGCACGUCAUCAGGGGCAGUAUUGAUGUAGAUGGGUCGCGUGAUCUCAUACGCUUCGACACAACUGAAUCCUCUUGAGGUGAUUUAUCCGACACAUGAUUUUGAGUUGAGGGUCGUGGUUUUCACCCUCAAGAUUUGGUGACAUUACCAUUAUGGGGUUCGUUGUACUAUUUACACGGAUCACAAGAGCCUGGUGUACUUGAUGGAUCAACCGAACCUGAAUAUGAGGCAGCGUCGAUCGUUAGAUGUGGUGAAGGAUUAUGAUUGUGAGAUCCUUUCUCACCCGGGGAAGGCCAAUGUGGUGGUCGAUGCUCUCAGCCGCAAGGCGGUCGUAGCUCCGAUCAGAGACAUAUGUUUGAGGAUGAUCGUGAUUACUCCAGUGUUGGAGCGGAUUCGUGAGGCAAAGGCCGAGGCUAUGAAGGAAUAGCACCAAAAGAGCGAGCGCAUUGUGGGUCAGGUGGCUUCCUUUGAUUAUGAUAUUUGUGGAUUGUUGACUCUGCAUCAGCGAUUUUAGCUUUCGUAUUGGGGUGGUGUACGUCAGAUUCUGAUGGAGGAGGCUCAAAAUUCAAGGUUCUCCAUUCAUUCCGGGGCGACGAAGAUGUAUAGGGAUCUUUGUCCGGAUUAUUGGUGCCCCUGCAUGAAGCGGGAUGUGGCAUGGUAUGUGGAGUGGUGCUUGACCUGCAUGAAAUGGGAGGAUAUAACCAUGGAUUUUAUCAUGAAGCUUCCCAGGACUGUGUACGGAGUGGAUUCAAUAUAGGUCAUCGUGGAUCGUUUGACCAAGAACGCAUAACUGAUUCCAGUUCAAGAGAGUAUUUAUGCAGAGAAGUUGGCUGAGGUUUUGUACCAGGGAGGUUGUGGCACGGUAUGCGGUGCCAGUAUCUGUGGUUUCUGAUACAGAUAUCUGGUUUACUUCCAGGUUUUGGAAGAAGUACCAUGACGAGUUAGGUACUAGUCUCCAUAUCAGCACAACAUUUCAUCUGCAGACUGAUGGUCAGAAUGAGCAGGCGAUUUAGACCCUUGAGGAUAUUUUACCGACGUACGUUUUGGAUUUCGCUGGGAUUUAGGAUAUGUAUCUUCCGUUAGCAUCAUUUUCAUAUAACAAUAGUUAUCACGCCAGCAUUGAUCGACCUCCUUUUGAGAUGCUCUAUGGGAGGAAAUGCAGGACCCCGAUUUGUUGGGGUGAGGUCGGUCAGCGGGUUAUAGGGAAUACCGAGGUGGUACUUAGGACCAUUGAGCUGAUUCAGCAGGUUUGGAGAAGAAUCCAGAUAGCUCAGAGUCAGCACAAGAGUUAUGCCAAUAGGCGCCGACCAGACUUAGAGUUCUAAGUGGGAGAUAUGGUUCUCCAGAAGGUGUCACCUUGGAAAGGUGUCAUCCGGUUCAGGAAGCGGGGCAAGCUAGGCCCCAGGUAUAUUGGUCCUUUCAGGGUUUUGACUCAGGUGGGACAGGAUGCUUAACGCUUGGAUCUUCUAGAUGAGCUCAGUCAGAUUUAUAGCAUGUUCCACUUCUCUCAGCCGCAAAGGUGUUUAGUGGAUGAUUGCAGUAGCGGUACCAUUGGAUGAUAUUCAGGUGGAUGACAGCCUGAAUUAUAUUGAGAUACCACUGGCGAUUUUGGAUCAGAGGACGAAAACCUUAAGGAACAAUGUUGUCAAGCUGGUAAAGGUGCAGUGGCAGCACCGGAAGAGAUCAAAGUGGAAUUGGGAGCCUUAGGAUGGGAUGGGAGAGCACUAUCCAGAGUUAUUCGGGGCAGCAGACUUCAAGGACGAAGUCUGAUUCAAGUGGGGGAGAAUUGUAACACUUGAAUCCUGGUAUAUUUCACCAAUACCCCUUGUGUAUUUAUAAGUUUCAUUUUGGUCCUUGUGUAGUACGCAGGGGCGUACCACAUGGUACGCUUGGCGUACAAGCUGUGAAUCGAGUAUGUGGGGCAUACCAUAUGGUAUGCUUAGCAUACUCAUGCUAGGCCAUGAUGGGAUUUCGGACACGUAUGUGGAGCGUACAACCAUGUAUACGGGGUGUAUGUAUGAUUUAAUGAAAACCCUAAUUUUGGGGUUGGACACUAUAUAAACACAUUUAUGGCUCAUGAAACUCUCAUUUCUCAUCCUCCUCUAAUCUCAUAACCUCGUAUUUGAAACCCUAAACCUCUCCUUUGUGUGUUUGAGAUCAUUGUGUACAUUUUGGUGUGUUUUGGUCCAUAAUUAAGAAAUAGAAUCUUGGUCCAAGAUUGUUGAGCAAGGAAGAGCUUGUGGAUCCUGAUUCUCUACUCCAUUCCAGCUUGUUUGAGGUAAAAAGCUAUGAACUUGUUCAUUAAUUGCUUAGAUCUAAUAUAUAUGAAUUUUGGUCCCUUUUGGACCCAUGAAUGAUAUCUAGUGGUUUAAUACCACUCCAGGAGCUUUGAGUUGCCACUCUUGGUGUUUAUGAGGUUCAAAGUCCAUAAAGUUGGCACCUUUAGGGUUUAGAAUCACCCAUGCAUGAGAUUGUGUCUAUUUAGUGAAAGUGGAUUGUUAUAUCUAGAAGUUGGGUCCUUUUGGGGCAUGCAAACUCACCAAGUCAGUGACUUUAUGGUUCUAGAUACUUAUUAGGAUUUAGAUCUGUGGUUUGGACUUUUGGACUUAUCCAAUAAACGCUUAAGGAGGAUUUUGUCUUAAUAGGUGAGUACGUUGGGCGUACAAGCCUGUAUGCACGGCGUACAAGCCGUAUAGCGUGUACGCUUAGCGUAUAUCUGAGUACGCCCCAUGUACUAAGUAGUUGGGUUUUUGCAUUUCGGGCUUAAAGUUUGGGCUUUCUUUUGGGCUUGGGUGUUUGAGUUCUUAUUGGGCCAUCUGAGUGUAAGUGUUUUGGACUAGGAAAAGUUUUUGGGCUUUAAGGUAAGGCCCAUGUAAGGGUUCAUGCCCAAUUUGGAAAAUUGGACCAUAAAUGGGCCUUAGAUGAUUGAUUGAUUUUGGGCCUUUUGGAUUUUGUGUUUGGGCCUAAGUCUUGGACCAAACUAGGUGAGGGGUAAAAUGGUAUUUUUACCCAAGUAUGGAUUGUUGGAUAUGGGUUGGAACACAAAUGUAAAUUAGGUGUUAUCUUGUGUUGAUAGCUCGAGGAUUCGUCAGACCAACAACCAUGGAUUUUCUAUGAGAUUCAACAAUCGAGGUGAAUUUCCUCACUGAGUUUAGCAGGUCUAAGGAACCAAUGUCAGCCCUUAUUGUUUAUGUUAGGAUACUAGGAAUCUGCGUGACGCUUGCAUGUGUUAUGUGCUGCUAUGUAUACCGAGCGGGGCUCGGUGCCGGGUGGGGCACGAUGACUGAAACAUAUGCUAUUGUUUUAUGAUCAUUGUAUGUGUUAGCAUGAUUAUGUGAUAUAUAUAUAUAUAUAUAUNNNNNNNNNNNNNNNNNNNNNNNNNNNNNNNNNNNNNNNNNNNNNNNNNNNNNNNNNNNNNNNNNNNNNNNNNNNNNNNNNNNNNNNNNNNNNNNNNNNNNNNNNNNNNNNNNNNNNNAUGUAGGGUGGGGGCCCAAUAUGUGAUUUAUUAUGUAUAGUAUGGGGUAGUUUGGGGAACUCACUAACCUUUCUGCUUAUAGUUUUCAGUUUAUGUUUCAGGUACUUCUGGUUCCAAGGGGAAGAGCUCGGGAUGACUGUAUCGCACACACCUCAUACUUCCGCUUUUGUGAUUUACUCUGAUUAAUAUGAUGUUGAUACUCUUAGUUUCACAUGGAUUGUCAUGAUGAUGUUUUUGGAAUAUUUUUUUAUUUAAAUUAAAAAUGAAAAUUUUGAGUCAUAUUUUUGGGCCGUUACNNNNNNNNNNNNNNNNNNNNNNNNNNNNNNNNNNNNNNNNNNNNNNNNNNNNNNNNNNNNNNNNNNNNNNNNNNNNNNNNNNNNNNNNNNNNNNNNNNNNNNNNNNNNNNNNNNNNNNNNNNNNNNNNNNNNNNNNNNNNNNNNNNNNNNNNNNNNNNNNNNNNNNNNNNNNNNNNNNNNNNNNNNNNNNNNNNNNNNNNNNNNNNNNNNNNNNNNNNNNNNNNNNNNNNNNNNNNNNNNNNNNNNNNNNNNNNNNNNNNNNNNNNNNNNNNNNNNNNNNNNNNNNNNNNNNNNNNNNNNNNNNNNNNNNNNNNNNNNNNNNNNNNNNNNNNNNNNNNNNNNNNNNNNNNNNNNNNNNNNNNNNNNNNNNNNNNNNNNNNNNNNNNNNNNNNNNNNNNNNNNNNNNNNNNNNNNNNNNNNNNNNNNNNNNNNNNNNNNNNNNNNNNNNNNNNNNNNNNNNNNNNNNNNNNNNNNNNNNNNNNNNNNNNNNNNNNNNNNNNNNNNNNNNNNNNNNNNNNNNNNNNNNNNNNNNUAUAUAUAUAUAUAUAUAUAUAUACACACUAGUGUAUAAUCCGUAAGAACCAUGGUUGUAAAAUUAAUUAAACUUUUAUAGAAAAAACUCAAAAUUAUUUAUCAUUUAUUUCAAAUAAAUUAUUUUAAAUAAGUUAUUAAUUAAGAGAUAUUUUUUUAGUUAUAUAAAAUUAUAAUCUUUGAUUUAGUGUGAAAUUUAAAAAUAAAAUGUGCAAUGAAAAAACAAUUAUUAAUUUAAUGUAAUUAAAGUGGGAAAUUUAAAUAUUAAAAUUUGAAAUUUGAAAUGAAGAAUUAAUAGGUUUACAUGUAACAUGAUAGAUGACAUAUAAUAUUAAUGAUGAUUUCUAAUAUUGUGACACUUGUUAAUAGGAGAAUAAAUUUAUUCAUUUAUUNUAAAUGAAAAUUAUGUAAGAAUAUGAUAAUGGUGAACUUUCUAUAAAUUUUGAAUGUAAAUCACGUUAAGAGUUGAAUUUUAAGUACUUUGGACGAGUACAGUGCAUAUACGNAAUUUUCAUACUAGGGGUGGUAUGAGAAAUUUAACUAUUAGAACAAUAGUAGAAAAAAAAUUCAAAAAUUUUUGCACCGGGAAAACAAAAGUCAAGGGUUGUGAGUACCUAACCUUAUAUACCUUAUAUGGUAUUUUCAUACUAGGGGUGGUAUGAGAAAUUUAACUAUUAGAACAAUAGUAGAAAAAAAAUUCAAAAAUUUUUGCACCGGGAAAACAAAAGUCAAGGGUUGUGAGUACCUAACCUUAUAUACCUUAUAUGGUAUNNNNNNNNNNNNNNNNNNNNNNNNNNNNNNNNNNNNNNNNNNNNNNNNNNNNNNNNNNNNNNNNNNNNNNNNNNNNNNNNNNNNNNNNNNNNNNNNNNNNNNNNNNNNNNNNNNNNNNNNNNNNNNNNNNNNNNNNNNNNNNNNNNNNNNNNNNNNNNNNNNNNNNNNNNNNNNNNNNNNNNNNNNNNNNNNNNNNNNNNNNNNNNNNNNNNNNNNNNNNNNNNNNNNNNNNNNNNNNNNNNNNNNNNNNNNNNNNNNNNNNNNNNNNNNNNNNNNNNNNNNNNNNNNNNNNNNNNNNNNNNNNNNNNNNNNNNNNNNNNNNNNNNNNNNNNNNNNNNNNNNNNNNNNNNNNNNNNNNNNNNNNNNNNNNNNNNNNNNNNNNNNNNNNNNNNNNNNNNNNNNNNNNNNNNNNNNNNNNNNNNNNNNNNNNNNNNNNNNNNNNNNNNNNNNNNNNNNNNNNNNNNNNNNNNNNNNNNNNNNNNNNNNNNNNNNNNGUUGACAAGUGACAUGAUAGAUGACAUAUAAUAUUAAUGAGGAUUUCAAAUAUUAUGACAUUUGUCAAUAGAAGAAUAAAGUUAUUCAUUUACUAAGCGAAUACUCGAGCGUGCCACAAAAGCACUUAUAUAGUUGAAGUCUUUACAAAUAUAUGUUUUUUAAAAUAUAACAAUAAUGUUAUUGUUAAAUUUGAUAUAAUAAUUCGUAUAAUAAAAUGAUAUAAUAUAUGGUUUAAUGUUAUUUAUAGUUAUUAUUAUUGUUAAUAAAGUUUUUAAAAUUUAUUUGCUUAAUGUUUUAAUUUCUGUCAUUAUAAUUAUUUAAAACAUCAAAUAUUGUUUUUUGAUUUUUAAAGAUAACAAUAUAAUCAUUUAUAUAGUUAUUUUAAACUAUUGUUAUAAUAAGUUAUUUUAAACUACUUAUCUGAAAAGAAUUUAAUGAUUAUAAAAAUAUCUUUAGGAAAUAUUUUAGUUAAAUUGAUAUUACAAUUUAGUUUUUUCAUUUAUCACUUUUAACUAUUUACAAAAUAUUCUUUAGUUUUUUUAAACGGAACUGAAAUUUAUAUUUAAGUUGACACUAUAAUGUUAUAUUUAAAUUAACAAUUUAAUUAUUUUAUUUAAACUGUUCAAAAGUUGAAGCUUUAAACUGAUAAUGGUUUACAUACAACACCAUUUUAAAUCUAAUAAAUUAAGUAUAAUAUGUUAAAAGUUAAAGACAUAACUUUAUAAGUAGAAGUAAAUAUAUUUUUUUUUAAAUUGAAAUUUAGUUUAUGUAUGAUUAUACUUUAGGUUUGAGAUUUAUUUAACCUUAUUAACCAACUUAUAAUCAUUAUUAGAAAGACACUAUAAUUUAUCACUUUUAACUAUUUACAUAGUAGUUUUUGGGUUUUUUAAGGUAAACUAAAAUUUAUAUUUAAGUUGACCCUGUAAUAUUAUAUUUAAAUUAAUAAUUUAACUAUUUUAUAGAAACUGCUUCAAAAUUGCAUCUUUAAAAUGAUAAUCAUUUACAUCCAACAAUAUAUUAAAGUAAAUAUAUCAUUUUAAUAUUGGAAUUUANAUUAGUUGCAAAUGAAAAUUAUGUAAGAAUAUGAUAAUAGUGAACUUUCUAAAAAUCUUGAAUGUAAAUCAAGUAAAGAGUUGAAUUUUAAGUACUUUAAACGAGUACGGUGCAUAUACGAUAUAAAACGACAAAGCCUAUUGGGUCUCGAUACCUAAAAAGUACGGACGUAAAAUUUCAUAAUAGGGGUGGUAUGAGAAAUUUAACUAUUAGAACAAUAAUAGAAAAAAAAAUCAAAAAUUUUUGCAUCGGGAAAACAGAAGUUAGAGGUUUUGAGUACCAAANNNNNNNNNNNNNNNNNNNNNNNNNNNNNNNNNNNNNNNNNNNNNNNNNNNNNNNNNNNNNNNNNNNNNNNNNNNNNNNNNNNNNNNNNNNNNNNNNNNNNNNNNNNNNNNNNNNNNNNNNNNNNNNNNNNNNNNNNNNNNNNNNNNNNNNNNNNNNNNNNNNNAUUUGUUGUGGUAAUUUGGGUUGAACAUGGUACAGUACCAAUUUGAUUUUACUCAAAGAAUGUACCGUAAUAACUAUAUGAAUUUUUUGCUAUCAAUACCGUAUCAAAUAUAUUUUGUACCAAUUUGUUUAGCUAUUAACAAGUUUGGUUGGUACAAAUUGGUAAUAACGUGUUAACAGUUUUGUUUUAACUUUAAAUUGUAAUACUUAAGGAGUAAUAGCGACAUGCGACAAUUUUCUCUGCUAGUAAAAUAUAAAUUAGUAAAGUAACAAUUUUAGUUGCUAUAGAAUUUUAUUAACUAACUUUUGAGGUUUUAUAAUUUAAUGUGGUAAUAGCUAUGGUUUACCUCUAAAGUCUAAUAUCAUUUUUUUUUAAAAUUGUAAACAGUAAAUAAACUUGACAGUUNNNNNNNNNNNNNNNNNNNNNNUAUAUAUAUAUAAUUAAAUAUGAAUCAUAAUUAUUGUGUAAAUGUAUGACCAAAUUAUGGUCAUUAGAUUAAAAGGAAUAUAAAGUUAUGAUCUUACAAUACAUAUUAUUAAUAUAUGCUAGUGUUUACUCUAUAACUACAUGCGAAAAAUUAUAGAGGCACUUAUAAAAUUUUAUUAUGAGAGAGAAAUAAAAAUAACUUAUAUUUUAGGCAACAAAGAGGCACUAAUUAAUAAAAAUUCAAAUUAAUUUUUUUUUGAACUUUUCCAGUUAUCAAUUUACAUUCUUAGAGAACAAAAUUUUACCGGAGAUAGUUAUUAACGUUUCCAUGGAUAUAAUUCAAUUUCAAUUAUUAUCAUUCACAUUUUUGAAGAACAAGUCGUGAAUUAAAAUUUAUAUAUAUGAAAAAAGAAAUAAAUCCGUCGCUCCUAAACAUUUAUCUUUUUUCAUAUUUCACGUCAAAAGACAUGAUACAAGCUUAAUUAUAUCAUUAUUCUCAAAAAUAACAAACUUUCUUAUAUUAUUUUAUGAGAAUAUAUAGAAAAAAUAUCAUUCUUAAAUAAUAACAAGUAUAUCGUGAUAUUCUUUAAAAUAAAAACAUUCUUAUAUGAUUCUGUAAGAAUAUAAAAAAUAUAACUCUUAAAGAAUAACAUACAUUCUUAAAAAUAAGAAACGUUCUUAUAUCAUUUUGUGAGAAUAUAAAAAUAUAAUUUUUAAAGAAUUACAAACAUUCUUAUAUUAUUCCAUGAGAAUGAAAAAACUAUCAUUCUUAAAGAAUAACAGGUGUAUCUUGUCAUUCUUAAAAAUAACAAAUGUUCUUAUAUUAUUCUACAAGAAUAAAAAAAAAUAUAAUUCUUAUACAAUAUCAGAUAUUCUAUGUAAAUAAUUUUUAAAUUUGUCGAUGUCAGUAUAUUUAUUAUAAUAUAAAUAAAGAAAUAAGAGAUGACGAUGCUUUAAAAUAAAAAGAUAUUCAUUAGAUAAAUAAUUUGAAAAACGAUAAAAUGAAAGAAUGAGAAGCAAGAUUAUGAAUCAAAUAUGUUAAACAAUUUAAUAUAUAACAAGAACCGAAAAUUAGAACUAAAUAACUUCUACAAUUUGAAAAAUUACAAACGUCCUCACCCAGUUUACUUAGCAUCUUCUUUGUACCACCUACCAACCAUUUUGAUGAGUUGAAAAACUCUUUUAAGAUCGAUUAGAUGCUUAGCAAGUAAAAUAGAAUGUAAAUAAUAGAAAUAACACACGAUGAAUCAAAACAUAUGUUGAACGAUUAAGACUACAACAUCUCAGAAGAGCUCGACAAAGAACUUCUAUUGUAGAGUUGUGCUAGGGUUACAGUCCAAUGAAAGAGAUAAUAAUUGUUAAGCGUACAAAAGACGAUGCAUGCAUGCACCAUAAAUACUAAACCCUAAUAUCAUAAACACGGAUGGACCGGCCCAUACCGUGACAAAAUUGGACAAACUAACGAAGCCCAAUGACGCAACAUCCUAGUCUCAACAAUCUCCUCCUUUGCGUCAAUUGAGGCGAGAGAUCAUUUCGGUUAAGCAAGAGUUGAUUUCUUCACAGUCUUGAAUAGAAUUGGUAUGAUGGCGAGUAGAGUCUGAUGAAAGUCAAUGUACCACCGAAGCAUAUCCAAAAACAUCUUCUUAUCAGCUUCACUGUUUUGGUUACACCUAUAGAUGAUAUCAAGAAUGUGCUCCAAGUAGGAAGUGGAGAACAGGUGUUUGUCAUCAAGAGCGAACAUGCAUUUUUGGCCUUCGGCUCUAGUGAACAUUACAGUAUGAUACUUCGGGUUGAUUUUUCCCAUCAGCAUCACAUUAACAUCGCUUGCCUUCCCAAUUGGCUUGAUUGUAGGCUUCUUCCUCAAGGCAGAGGCGAUCUCCUGAUCCAUCUUCGCGACUUCAAGAAUGUAGCAAACCAACAUUCGCUUGAUGUGAUCGAUGAUACGCUCAUAUUGUUGUUGAUCAGUCAGCAAGAUGUUAUUCAGGAGGAUCCAGUCAUGAGGAUUUAAAUUUGGAAGAUCAACGGGAUAAAUCAUAUGAACCUAGUUGUCUGAUCCUCGGGUCACCUUGAAUUUGACAUUGAUAAACUUCCAUGCCAAAGCUGGUUUCAACACUUUUACUGUUGUGAUCUUCUGUUUACUCUAAGUCAAUUAUUGUGGUUGAGAGAACGCAAGAUAGUACUCAAUCAAAUCUCGAUCAACCUUCGAGUCAGGAGAGGGGAUAGCAACCGUUGGCUCAAAACAAUGAAAGAUAAACGUCUUUCGGGUGAUCGGCAUGUCGAAUUGAGAGUCCCUGGAAUUCUCACGAUCAAACGAGAGAACAGGUUCGAGCCAGUGUGUGAUGGGAGACUCGAUUUCUUCCUUCAGAAGCUUUUCUAAAGACCACAGAGGAAACAGAGAUUUCCUUCAUUCCAAUGUGUCAUUUACUUCUUUUUUGUUUCCUCUUCCUCUCUACUUCUUCUUCUACUUUGUGAAGCUUUUCUUCAAGCUCUCGGUCAGUCUUCUUUUGCUUGAGAGCAAUUUCUUCAGUUUCUUCCUCAUCAUUAUCACCGAUGAUCUUUUUACCUUUGUCCUUCACACUGGAACCCGAAGCUUCAUUACCCUUCGGUUCAGUGGUGACUUUCGGUUGUGUAGCAGGUUUGCUUGUUGGAGGUUUUAGUUGACCAUGGCCUUCUUCUCCCCCUUGUUUCGGAGGGACAACAAACUUCGGAACACCCUCAAUACGGCUCAACAUCUCAAGAGCCGAUCUUAGCUUUUCAGCCAAGUGUAGUCGAACUGUGAUAGUAAGGACCGAAUCAUGAGCUUCCAGGAGAUUAAAGAGAAAAGAGUGGACAUCACCACCGUUUCUUUUGAUAAUAACUCGCUCAGUCUUGAGAUCAUCAAUUUCUUUUAGCGCCUGAUUGAGCUUCAGAGCCUGAGUCUUGACUUUGGUGGUUUUGUGAGCAAGUUCAUCCAUGACUUUGUUUUCCAUGGCUAGAUCAGCCUGGAGUUUAUCAAGACGAGAAUGGAUGGAUGUUUGAAGCUCUUUGUAGUCAAACUUGGUGUUUUGAUAUGCCUCUUCAAAGUUCUUCUUCUCAGCUUGAAGGGAUUGGGUAAGAUUAUCAACAGAAGCAUUCAGAGUUUGAGCAUUCUUCUGAGCUGUAGCCCGAAGAGAAUCUAGAAAAAUGCGAGCAUUAGAAAUUAGUUUUUUGACAUUUCCGGUCGCUUGCUUGCAAUCUUUGGUGGAUUCUUUAACUACAACGGAUGCCUUCUGGCAUGAGGAAGUGGAGGCAUCAAUGGCUUUGGCUGAAUUGGAAAUGGAGGUAUCAUGCUCUUUGACAAAGGUUGCCAACAAAGCCUUGAUCGCAACCUCAGAGUAUGUCUCACUGGGAGUAGAAGAGGAAGAAGAAAUCAAUUUGCAAGAUUUUCAUUCAGAUCCCUUAAAUGCCUCUUCGUGACAGGAGCAUCAUCAUCAUCAUCGCUCUAUACUCGGUAUGGGUUGUAGUAGAUGGAAUCAAACUCCAUUUCCGCUCCACCAAGAACGGUUUCAGUUUCAUGUCAGUGAGGUGGAUAUAGAGGUUUUGAGGUGAUUGGGGUGUCAGUGCCAGAAGUAGGUACCCUCGUAUUAGAUACGUUGACACGAACUUGAGGUUCGGUUGUAGAAGUGGUGAUGGUGGUAACUUCAGUGAACAUGGGUGUUGGGAUUGGUAUAGAAGUGACAGUUGAAAAGGAGAUAGGAGGGGGGCAUGGAGCAAUGGUAAUAGGAACUGAGUGUGUAGGAGAAGUAGGAGGUGAAGUUCAGUUACCUUGAUGAGUUGGUGAAGGAGGAGGCGAAUUACCUCAGAGCGGACUCUCAUGUUGAGAAGCUUCUGUUGGAUUAGUGUCUAAGUCCAUAACUAUUUUGGUAUGUACUUGACCCGAUGGUGCAUGGUCCUUUUGGGUUGCCUUCACCAAAGCAACUUGAUAGGAUGAAUUAUGGAGAGAGAAGAUUAAUUAUGAUUUAUUAAUAUAUUAUGAGAAUAAUAUAUUAAAGGAGAAAUCAUAUUGUUUAAUAUUAGUCAAGAAUUAAUUGAUAAUUAAUUUUGUGGCUAAAAUAGAUUAAUUAAACUUAAGGGACUGGAACUGUAAUUAUAAGAUAAUUGCAUUUGGGCUAUGGAUUACCUUGGGAUAAUAGGUUAGACGAAUUCUAUGGGGAAACCCAUUAGAAAUCGUCCAAGGGAUAUUCUAAAAGAGUCUAUGGGCUGGUUAGGGCUUAAGUAGUCAGAUUAGGGUUUCCUAGUUGAAAACCCUAAUAGCCUACAUGUAUAUAUAGUACCCUUAAGCCCCAAAAACGUGGCUAAGAGUUCCACUAGGGUUUCUGGACGUUUUGGGCAGCCUCCUCUCUCCUUAUUCUUCAUCCUCUUGCUCUUGGUGUUUGUGAGCCAUUAGAGGAGUGACAAUUGUGACUCUAAGCUUUCUAAAGUCAUUACAAGGAGGAUUUGAGAUUGUUAUUGCUACAUAACAAUCAAAGGUAAUUCUCUAAACCCUAAUUUCAGUUUAUAAUAUGUUAGAUCUAAGAUUGUAAGUCUUGGAUACAUUGCAUGUACAAUAGAGAAACCUAGAUCCAAGCAUUAGGGUUUGCAUGAGCACAUAUGAUUUUCUUAUGGCUAAAACCCAUCAGUGGUAUCAGAGCCUUGAUUGGUUUCUGUUGUAUGUGAUGAUAUGUUGAAUUAUUAACUGAAAAUCGAAUUUUGGCCUUCUGUUCGAACUGACUCGGCGAGUUCCAAUGUGUGACUCGGCGAGUCGGAGCGUCAGACAGAGGGAAUUUCAGAUUUUAUUGCUGUUUUGCUUAAGGAUAAUUACCAUAUUCGUUUUAAACUUAUAAAAUACGAUUUUUAAUGUUUCUAAAAGAUUAUCCUUGCCAAAACACAAGAUAAUUACCAAUUGAUUAGAUAAUAACUUCCUUAUAUGAUUAAAGAUUGAUUAUUUGUAUUAAUUGGGUAACUUAUCUUGCAAGAAAUUGAAAUUAGGUCAAAUAUAGAUAAUGACAAAAUUAAUUGUUUAAUUUCUAUUAUUUGUUAUUUGAUCCUUGUGUUGUGAAAAAGUUUCAUUUGUGCACAUGUAAGUUUUAUGGUUUAAAUUUGAACUUAAAGAUUUUGUUUUGAAAUUUAAAUAGUUGAAACCCUAAUGUUUUGAAAUGUUUCAAAACUUGCCCUCAAGUUUUGGAAUUUAAAAGUUGAUUAAAAGUUUAAUUUAGAAAUGUUAAAUUCUAAAACCCUAGUAUUGUUUUGAAAAGUUCAAAUCAUACCCUUAUGGUUUUAUUAAUUAAUUAAAGUGUAUAAUUAUUAAAUUUGACCACCUAGAAUUUUAAAAGUGUAAAAUACACCCUAUACUAUAUAUAGCAUUAAAGUCUAAUAUAUAUGUAUGAGUAAAAGUCAUUCUUACCGUUAGUAGGCGUCAUUCACGAAGCUGGUCUAUAAGGGGUGUUUAAGGAAAUUGCCUAUAAAAUGGUGAUUGAAUGGGUAUCCACUCUUACCCACCGCACUCUUGACUAGUGGAGGGUCGUUAGCCGAACGAGUAGGAUAAGAUAGAAACCUUCCAUUAUAAGUAUAAUGAAGUACAAAAGUAACUAAAUGCUUUUACAAAUUACCAAUCUUAGUUACUUUAGGCAAAAGUGAAUUGAUGCAAUUCCAUGAAAUUACAAUUUGUGCCCUUGCGAAGAC
rnacentral:lncRNA from 1 species